UAACGUUUUUAUUUAGUAGAAAUUACAUUUAUAAUUUAGCCGUAAAGGGCACUGAUCACAAGGACUAAUACAAACAAAUGAAGGAUACAUCAACAACACCUAGACAAUAAGGUAUCCCUCCAACCAUAUCCAUAACCGGCCAAAGCACCUCCACCGCAUAAAGUCAACAAACUUGGAUAAACGAGGCACGUCGACAACAUAAAGUAAAAUUAUAACUAAACCCUCACAAGGAAAGACAACUAACUCAUAAUGAGUUGUUGCAACUUAUUCUGACUCAGAAAAAGUCAAACAAAAAGUUAAAACAUGAAAAACAGCUCGCACAACCUCUAUGGAAGAGCCAUUGUACUUUAUCCAUCCUUGGGAUUCAAAUUUGAUACACAAAUUUGGUAGCCCUACCAUUAUUGUUCCCACAUCUUCGGAUUUUCUUCUUACUAAUUGAGGAUCUCUUGAGAAAACUUUUGAACCAGUGCGUCGAAAGUUUUGAGUGUCUUUCUAGUCCAUUGUCAUAAUCAAUAUAGUUGAUACCAAAUCGAACAGUAUAUCCUUCGCUCCAUUCAAAGUUGUCUAGCAAAGACCAUGCAAAGUAUCCCUGCACAUUAGCACCCUCCCUACAAACCCCCAAAAAAGAAGAAGAACAUCAUUGGUUCAAUAUAGUGAUUAAAUAACCAAAAUGUAAGAAGGCGAAAACAUAUAUAGCCUUAAUUAAUUUGUUGACAAAAACUUACUUCAUUGCUGCUUGGAGGUAACAGAGGUGGCGAUAGUAGUAGUCAAUUCUAUUAGCAUCAUUAAGGGCUUGCUCGAGUGAUAAUUUGGGAUUAUUGAACUCAUCCAUGCCUGCAAUAUAAUGCAGUAUCAAAUGCAUACAAUUUGUUUAACCGAAGAAAAAAUGUACAUAUAGUUUUAAGUUUAGAGUUUACAACACUUCACUUUAUUUUACACCAUUAUACAUAAAUGUGAAACAUUGAUGAUGCAAUUAAUUAAUGUUUAAAAAUAUUAAUUACGUACCAUUCUCAGUAAUGUACAUAAUUGGAUCAUUAUACUUUUCCUUUGUGUAGAGUACAAGAUCGUAAAGUCCUUUUGGGUAAACAUAUAACCAGUCUGAAGCAGCCUGCAAUCCCAUUUGAAGAUCAGUGAGACUUUUAGCACUUUAUGUGUAUAUGGAAAACAAAAUAUAUGCAUAUAUAGCUAUUAAUUCUCAAAAUCCCAAUAACUUAAGCUAAUAAUUUAUUGCGUACCCGUGGACCAAUGGGGACCCCAUUAAGAUCAGCUGCUAUAACAUAAAUGAAUAUGAAUAUUAGGAUCUAAUUAUUUGGAGAACUACAUUAAUUUCUUGAAAUUUUCAAUUUGUACUCACUUGUAACAUUAACAUGAACAUCUGUUAGGUAGCUUGGAGGUGUAGUUACAGAAUAAUCCUUAGGAUAAGCGCUUGCAUAUCUAGCAGAGUAGUAGUUUAUUCCAAUAUAGUCAUAUGACCCACUCAGUGACUUGGAUUGUUCUUCCGUGAAAUUCGGUAACCGUGCACCAAGAAUGGAUCGCAUGAUCUGCGGGUAGUCACCUCUUGUCAAUGGGUCCAUGAACCUAUGAAAAUUCCAAACGUGAACUUAUAACAUUAUAUAAACUACCACAGGCUACCUAACUGAAGUUAUAAUUCAAAAAUAAAGCAUUUAAAUGAAUUGAUAUAUAAAUCAAUAAUACACUUACCAUCCAUACAUAAAAUCCAAAGCUUGAAAUGCAGCGUCUUUAUCUUGUUGUGACUCUGAAGCGGGCUCAAACCAAUGUGAUACAACAGUUAUUCCUAUGACACCAUUUUGAUAUGCCUGCUCCAGAGAGAUAAAUAAAAAAUAAAAAAUUGGUUGAUUUAAAGCAAAGAAAAAAAAAAAUUAUAUUAUUACAACCGUCGUUUUUCUCAAAAUAAAAAGUAUUCCCACUUAUGUUGUUACAUAAUAAUACUAGUUACUCGUUGGACCUCAAUUUCUAAAAGAAAAAGAAAAAAGACUAACGGAAGUACCUGAUAUUUUUCUCUGUACAAUUUUACAGCAGCUGCAUGAGCAAGGAGUAGAUAGUGUGUCACCAAAUAUGGUUCAAUACCCGAAUCUCCACCAAGGCAAUUUUGGUUGUACCAAUCAGAGCAUCGUCCUGGUGCAUGGAUCCCGAUUGUGUAACCAUGGUUACUAAUGGUAUAUGGCUCAUUAAGUGUGGUCCAAUGCUUUACUCGAUCACCAAAUUCCUUAUAACAAAGGUCUGCGUAUGCUUUAAAGUCAUCGCUGCGUGUACACAUUGAAAUAUGUAUUUAUUGUAUAUAAUAGUAUUUAUAUAAUUAAGUGAUCAAUAUUAUACAAAGGAUGGAAUUUGUCCACUUACACAAUACGAGGGCUUAACAAACCACCAUAUUCGUCUACUAAGGCUUGGGGAACAUCCCAGUGGAAGAGUGUCACUAAUGGCUCUAUACCUAUAUGUAGCAUGACCAGUAAAAGAAAAUUAGAAGUUUGAUUAAACAACUGCAGGUACUGUUGUUAUAUUAGGAGGAUUUUAUGAGAUUGGGAGCUGUAUCACCAUUGCGUAGGAGUUCAUUGGUGAGAUUAUUGUAGUAUUCGAUUCCCUUCUUGUUAAUUCCACCACUUAGUUUUCCAUCUAAUAAUAAUUAAAACAAAACAAGAAAAAUAUAAGCCAAUACCUAUCAUGAAAUAGGAAUUAAAUUGAAUAAAAGAUGUUAAACAUUAAAGCGAUUGGUCGCAAUAAUAUAUGUGGAUGCGGAUGAUCAACUUACUUGGUAACAAUCUGGACCAUGAGAUAGAGAACCUAUAAGCAUCCAACCCCAUAUCCUUCAUAAUUGCCACAUCUUCCUAUAAUGACACAAAAGAUGUACAUAAUUAUAAAAAUAACAAAAAGAAGCUAAAAAUUAAGGAUAUCAUCCUUAAUGUCGUGUGUUCAAAUUCAAAUAUAGAAGGUCUACAUAAUACAAUUAUGUGAUUUUCAAACCUUAUAACGGUGAUAUUGAUCAAUAGCAACAUCUCCAUUGCUACCAUCAGUUAUCUUUUCUGCAAUUAAUCAAAUGUAAUUUUAGUUAUAAAUAAAGAUACAAAGUAAUUUAGCUAUCUAGAUAUUUAAAUAGGGGAAUGCUAGCAACCUUCACCGUAACCAUCUUGGUUGGAACUUCUCACUUCUUCUCAUGUGCGAUGGAUUAUUCCUCUUAAUUAAAUUUUUGAAUGAUACAUUAAUACAUUAAAAAAUUUGAGUUUUAUUUUCCAUGAUUACCCUUAUUCAAUUUUUUUACAACUUUCUAACUAUCUUCUUUGAUCUAGGAGAGUUGUCAGAUAUUUGCUGGGUAAGGUCAUAGUUUCUGCGCAGUUCCCAUUGAGCACUUUGUAAGUGAAGAAUAACUAAUUUCCAUGAAGCAUUGGCUUGUUUAUACAUUGUUUAUAGCUUUUGAAAUGAAGUAACUGAUCAUCAAUUUAGUCACCUAAAAAAAUAGAAAAUAGAAGAUUUGUUAACUAAUUGAUUGUUUGAUUCAACAGACCUGGAUGCUCAUGGGUGAAGUUAUCCCAUACGCUUGGUCCUCUACCGUCUAUGUUUGCAGCACCUUCUAACUGAAAUGCACAUACAGAUAUACAUAUAAAACACGAUUUACAGAAUGAAGAUGCCAAUAUUCAUAAAUGACACAUGCUAAGUAAGGUAACUAUAUGAAACAAAAAAUUAAAACAAAUUCAUGAGUAAUGUUAAUUAAGCUCCCAAAAUGCACUGACUUGGUAAGCUGCUGUAGCUGCGCCAAAUGUGAACCCUGGAAAAAGAGUAUCGAAAUGGGUCCUGUUGAGAGUUGCACAAACAACGGGUGGAUCUGUCCUGGCAGCAUUGGUAUUUGCCAAUGCAAAGCCUAGGAGCAGCAGCACCACACACAAGAGCAAAGAGCGGAAUUGCAAUGCCAUAACUGAGUGGAGAGUUUUUGAUGAUCGAGCUAGGUGUGCUCUUCCUGCUAUAUUGCAUGGGGUUUAUAUAGAGGGAGUACAUAACUUCUACACGUGAAAAUAAUAAUUCAAAAGCAUUUUUAUUUCUUUUUUGUAAAGCCAAGCGGGCUUUAAAGCUAAGGUACGGGGACGGACAGAGAAAAGUUGGGACCUUCUUUUUUUUCCUUUUUUCUAUACUACUGUAUAGAAAUCAAUCCAAAGAUUCCAAAGAUUUCUUUUUUCUAUCCUUUUUUCAGAGUCUGAUUUUGCUGCCGUGCCCUAACCUCUGGUUUUGGAAAGAAAAUCUAAUUGCACCCUUCUCCAUUAAUGUUUUCUGUCCUAUCUCCAUCAAUUGGCGUUAAUUGCUCAUAACAAAUUUCUCUCUCAUGGAAACUCUUGGUCAUCUAGACCUAAGAUUGUUGAGAGUGUAAAUCUAACUCGUUGCCAAUUAAUUUUGAGUUGAAAUACUCAUGUUCUAAUUGAGUAUAUCAUAACGUAUUAUGAUCAAGAACCAUGAUAAAAUGACUGGUUUAAUAUAGGCCCCUACAAUUUCUAUUUCCUAAAUACCAUCCAAUUAAAAAUUGUUAUUGGAAUUUAGGCCCAAACAUUAUUUUUCACAAAAUGAAGUAAUAGGUAUGUUAUUUUUCCAACAUAAAAUUGUAUGUACACUAUUAUAUUUAUAAAAUAAUAAUAUAAUAGAUAAUUAAUCACGUAUACUUCAUAAAUAAAUAAAUAAAAACUUUUUUAUAUUAAAUAAACUGAUUAGGUAUGUUAAAUAUGAAUUUAUCGUUAAAUUAAAAAAAAUUCCGAAUGAAUUCCAACAUCUAUUUGGAGAUCUUUCCAAAUUCAAUGUGUCUCAUUAUUAGUUACAAUCCAAUUAAAAAUUGUUUCUAUAUAUUGGUCUACAUUAAUAUACAAAAUGCAAUAAUGGCUUUGUUGGCGGUAUUUUAGGAAUCAAAAAAUACAAGAAAUUCGAUUUGGAGCUUGAUUAGGUAACUUGCCGAGUUGGAUCCUACUCAAGAAGAGUUUGCUGAAAAUAAUGAUAAAGGAAGAAGAAGAAGAAGAAGAAGGGAAGUUGCUGGUUCGAUGUCAGAUUCUUUAGGGAAUAAUCAAGUAUUGUUAUAUAUUAUUAUUCUUCUUCUAAGUGUGAGGAAAUUGGUAGUCAUCUUUGUAAAUGAACUUGUAAAUUAACACAAGUACGCAAUGGUCUAAAGAAAGAUUUAAGAUUGUGGACUAAAAGGAUAUAUACAUCAAGGUAUUAAGUUUGUUCUGAAUUCGACACCCAUGUUUUUUUGUUCUUUGUCCAACAGCCAUUAGUUAUAGUGCACCUUCUAUAAAGAUUUCAUAUAUAAUAAAAUACGACGUCGUCCUUAUAUUUGACUCUCAGGAUUAUGAGAAUGGUCUUGGCAUUAUUCUAGGUUGUUUUGUUAUACCAUGUGAUUAUGUCAUUCCACUCCAGUUCCAAAUCCCCAUCAGCGAACUCAGGUGCAAUAAGAUGGGCACUCUAAUUUAGGGGGAGGAAAUCGAUCUCGAGUGCCGUAAUGUGGGCACACUACCUUGGCCAACUAACCCAACUCACAUUUGCAAAAAACAAAAGUUGCAAGGAAAGAAAAACUUGAUAGAAGAAAUCAUUUUUAAUGACUACAUCAAUUUCUCUCAUAUAAUUGUGGCAUGAAAAACAUAUUAAAUUUGCAAGACCUAGAGCGGGGGUUAAAUUUGCAUCAAUCUUUAAUUUUUUUUCGCAAAGACUAAGAUGUUGACACUGCUUAAGAAGUUAGAGGUGGCUGCGCUUUGUUGUUACAUGUGCUUCAAAUAUUUAAUGUUUUAGGUCUGUAAGAGUGGCUAUAGUAUUUAUUCGCUUACUAUUAUGUAUGAAAUCAAAAAGGAAAAAGGGAUUACUUUUUUGAUACCUUAUCAAAAUUCAGGUAAGGUGUCAAUCUCUAAGGGCCAGAGUAUGACAAUGUGAAGGUGAAAAUGUUAUAUAUUGGAAAGUUAAUGAACUUAGUAAGGGCUUAUGAAGAGUUGAGCUACUCUCUCUUUUGCGAAUUGGUUUUGGGUGAACCUCAACUUCCUAUAUAGUAUCAGAGCGCGUUUGUCCACGUGUGAAACCUCAACUUCUGCUCAGUUGUGGUGAUUGUCCUUAAAUAAUACCUCAAUCACAUUUUCGUCCUCCAAUUUUAAUCGGGCUUAAAUUGGGGCUCUCGUUGCAUAGCAUGUAUUCUCAAUACGUCCUCUUUCCAGUAGCCUGACUUACUUUUAAUUGAGUCAUGUGCAAGUAAUAGAAAGUAGAUUUAGCCCCAUACUACCACCCAGCUAUGCUGCUCUACACCUACCCAGCUAUAUUGCAUGGGGUUUAUAUAGUGGGAGUACGUAACUUCUACACGUGAAAAUAAUAAUUCAAAAGCCGUUUUAUUUCUUUUUUGCUUUCUUUUUUUUAAAGCCAAGCGGGCUUUAAAGCUAAGGGACGAGGACAGACAGAGAAAAGUUGGGACCUUCUUUUUUUUUCCUUUUUUCUGUACUAUAGAAAAGCAAUCCAAAGAUUCCAUUUGGACUACCUUCAGAGUCUGGUUUUGCUCCAGUGCCCUAACCUCUGGUUUUGGAAAGAUAACCUCUGUUUUCUAACCUAUCUCCAUCAAUUGGCGUUAAUUGCUCAAAACAAAUUUCUCUCUCAUGGAAACUCUUGCUCAUCUCUAUGGGCGAACUCUUCUUCAUUGGUUCCUUAGAAAGUAUUUCUCUCUCUCUCUCUCUCUCUCUCUCUCUCUCUCUCUAAAUUUAUAAAUAAAUAAAUAAAAAACUAUUUCUGAGAGAGUGACAGGGCAAAGGAUAUUCAUAUCAAACAACCAAAAAAUCAACCAAAGACAAAAACUCAAAAUGAUCCCUUGAUCUCUGAGAACCUUCUGUUAAUGUAUGCAUUUUGGGUUUUUCUUUUGGCUUCCCUUGACAACUUUGUAAUAGGAUUUCUAUUGUUAUUUAUCAAGCUCAAGUUUAGAUUGAGAAUAGCUUCUCUAGGUGUUCUUAACUAACAACUAUCAUACGGAGGUUCUGUUAGAGUUUCGGUAAUGCAAGUUUGUUUUGAUUUGAAUAAGCUCCUAUUUUUCAGGAGCUAGUGGUUCAUUUAAGUUAGGAGUUGAUCAGGUCAAGUAUGACCAAGUUGUUUGCUUAGUGGCCACAGUCUUCGGGAUGUGGAGACGUGGUUUGUUUUUUAAAUUGUUUUUUCAGUUGUAAUGGCUAUUUAAGCCAAACAUGUUCUGUUAAUAAGUUUGUGGAUUAUCUCACGAUCUUUACAGCCUCUUAGAGCUAGGUCUUUGAUACUCCAACAGGUUCAUGCAAAUUGGCAAAGGUAAAUUGUGCAUUGCAUAACAUUGCACUAUACUGUUUUUAUAAAAUGAUGACUAGUCAUCUGUUUCUUGGAUGACUAGUCAUCCUUGCUCUCCAACUUGAUAACCAACUUUUUUGUCCUAUUCCUUUUUCUCUCUCUGCUGCCACAUGGGAUUCUGACCUAAGGGAAUUUUUUGGUCUGUAUAGGUCUAGCGAUUCCUCUUUUGGCAAGCCGUCUCUUUUGUGUGGAAUUGGAGGAAAGAUUGGUUUUCUAUCUUUCCGUUCUUCUUCCUCAAGAGAGAACAAUAUUUCAUCUAUGAGUUUUUCCAAAUUGAUUUCUUUAUAAAUAAAAACUGCAUUUGAAAUAUGAAUCUGCAUCUAGCUUCAUAAAAACAUUCUCUCAUUUAUAUCUAGGUCAGAUUCACUACUGAUUUCUUCAAGAGUAUGGUUUCUUGAAGAAAUUGGUUAUUCUCCUUUGAAUCCAAAUUUUGGUUUCUGUUUGAGUUGAGCUUGCAAGCUGGUGCCAUGGGAUGAAUGAGCUGAAGAAGGAGCUGCCAUUGCCAUGAAGAACUGGGCUUCAAGCUUUGCUAAGUUGGAGAAGAAGAUUGCACAAAGGAGGUAUUGCUCAUCUUCCUAAAUAGAUCUAGGUUUUGCUUGAGCUUGCUUGUGUUCCUUUGUAAGAAUCUUUUUUCUACUUAGUGGAUUGCCUGGUCGGUUAAUGACCUCCAGUUUUUCCCAAUUGUGGGUUUCUGGGUGAACAAUUUCUGAUUACAUCCUUGUAAUUUUCUAGGUUUGUGUUCUUGGUGGUCGACUAGUCAUCGUAUGAAUUGUGGUUGACUAGUCAUCAUUAUCUGCUGCUUGGUGUUUGCUUGAUUAUGCUGUCUUCACAUACUUUCACCAUAGUUGUUGCUAGCACAGGGUUUGUUGCACUUUUGGCUGAAUAUCUUUUAAGUUAACCCAUCGUCACCUAAGUACCGAUUUCACCUUCAAACAAACUGAUUCUCUUAUUUAUAUGCCUAGUCAUACUGUUUGUGUUAUAUCUGAAAUAUUGAUGAAUGUUCACACAGUUAUCACCCUAGUUGUUGCUAGCACAGGAGAUGCCUAGAUUGAGAGGUCUUUCUGAGUGCCUAGGUUGUCAUGUAGUUAUCUUCUAGGCUUGCAGGGAUUUAAAUAUUUGAUAUGUUGUGCAUAUGUGUUAUGCUUAUAUGUUAAAGGGUCUAUGACUAGUUAUUGACUAGUCAUAUUGUCUCCACGUUUAUUUGAUAAUUAUUGUCAUACAUCUGUCCAUUCGGGUUUUAAUUUACCUCCUUCACCUAUGUACCAAUUGCAGAGAGAGAGAGAGAGAGAGAGAGAGAGAGAGAGAGAGAGAGAGAGGGACUGAUGGAGACAAGACAGACAAAAGAGCUUGAGUGUUUGGCAUGUGUGUUUUUCAAAUUUUGUCGAGCAUAACUUGCGUGUUGGCAUGCCCAAGCCAGACAAAAGCCAAAAGUUUUUUUCUUUUAAAUUCUUUGUACUAUAUUAUAUAUAUAUAUGGGGACAGAUCCAUGACACUAUGUUUUUUACACAAGUUUUGACACAAUUCUUGGGCCAUUAGAUUACUCUACUUUCAGUGGUUGUGAAUAAACUUGACAUGGGAAAUAAUUUUAAUUUCUUAAUUUGACAAUCAUUAAUUUUAUUUUCUCUCACACCAUAAAAAUAAAAGAAACGAUUUUCUCUCUCCUCCCUUUUUCUUGGUAAUCUCUCUUCUUUCUCGUACUCAUCUCUCUCACUCUCUUUCAUGAGACCAUAAAAAAUAUCGGUCUCUUUUUCUCUCUUUAUUUGCAACAAGAGUCUCCUCCCUCCCUCUCAUUCAUGAAACUAGAAAAGACCUCCAUCUCUGUUAAUGUAUGCAUUUUGUUUUUUUUUUUUUUUUUUUGUUUUGGCUUCCCUUGACAACUUUGUAAUAGGAUUUCUAUUGUUAUUUAUCAAGCUCAAGUUUUGAUUAAGAAUAGCUUCUCUAGUUGUUCUUAACGAACAACUAUCAUAUGGAGGUUCAUGCAAAUUGGCAAGGGUAAAUUGUGCAUUGCAUAACAUUGCAUAACAUUGCAUCAUACUGUUUUCAUAAAAUGAUGACUAGUCAUCUGUUUCUUGGAUGACUAGUCAUCCUUGCUCUCCAGCUUGAUAACCAACCUUUUUGUCCUAUUCCUUUUUCUCUCUCUGCUGCCACAUGGCAUUCUGACCUAAGGGAAUAUUUUGGUCUGUAUAGGCCUUGCGAUUUCUGUUUUGGAAAGCUAUCUCUUUUGUGUGGAAUUUGGAGGAAAGAUUGUUUUUCGAUCUUUCCGUUCUUCCUCCUCAAGAGAGAACAAUAUUUCAUCUAUGAGUUUUUCCAAAUUGAUAUCUUUAUGAAAAAACUGCAUUUGAAAUAUGAAUAUGCAACUAGCUUCAUAAAAACAUUCUCUUAUUAAUAUCUAGAUCAGAUUCACUACUGAUUUCUUCAAGAGUAUGGUUUCUUGAAGAAAUUGGUCAUUCUUCUUUGAAUCCAAAGUUUGGUUUCUGUUUGAGUUGAGCUUGCAAGCUGGUGCCAUGGGAUGAAUGAGCUGAAGAAGGAGCUGCCAUUGCCAUGAAGAACUGGGUUUCAAGCUUUGCUAAGUUGGGGAAGAAGAUUGCACAAAGGAGGUUUUGCUCAUCUUCCUAAAUAGAUCUAGGUUUUGCUUGAGCUUACUUGUGUUCCUUUGUAAGAAUCUUUUUCUACUUAGUGGAUUGCCUGGUCGGUUGAUGACCCCCAAUUUUUCCCAAUGGUGGGUUUCUGGGUGAACAAUUUCUGAUUGUAUCCUUGUAAUUUUUCUGGGUUUAUGUUCUUGGUGGUCGACUAGUCAUCGUAUAAAUUAUGGUUGACUAGUCAUCAUUAUCUGCUGUUUGAUGUUUGCUUGAUUAUGUUGUCUUCACACACUUUCACUAUAGUUGUUGCUAGCACAGGGGAUGCCUAGAUUGAUGGGUCCUUCUGAGUGCCUAGGUUGUCACUAGUAAUUCUCUAGGCCUGCAGGUAAAUCAUGGUAUGCUGUGUAUGUUGUUGUUUGGUAUAAUUCAUAUCUAACAGUUGACUAGUCAUAAGUGUGAUUGGCCAAGGUUUAGAGUGUGUGAAGUUUGUUGCAUCUUUUGGCUGAAUAUCUUUUAAGUUUACCCAUCGUUACCUAAGUACCGUUUUCAAUUGGUAUCAGAGCGUCAGCUCUUAAUACAAAUAGAGAGAUCCUAGGAUUUGUUUUGGUAUUUAGGUGUGCUCACUAUGGAACGGGAUCGAGUUGCUGGAUCUUGCAACUCCCCUCCUUAUUUUGAUGGAAACAACUACGCUGCUUGGAGAGAAAAAUUUGAGAUAUUCCUUGAUGCUCUUCAUGAGUACGCAAGUGAGUAUCUCAUAAAAGAGUGGGUUGCUCCUGUCAAGACUGUUGAGAGUAAUGUUGUGCCCAAGCCUAGGUCGGAAUGGACUGAAGCUGAGGUGUUUGCUGCAUAUUCAAACAAGAAGGCCAGAAAUGCCUUAGUUACAGCCUUGUCUAGCUCACAAUUUUCACAUAUACAACACAUCCCAAAUGCGAAACAGGCUUGGGAUAAACUAAGGGUGGUUCAUGAAGGGGAUGACCAAGUUAGAACCCUAAAACUUCAGAUGGUGCUUGCACAAUUUGAAGAACUUAGGAUGUCUGAAACUGAGUCUAUUUCUGAGUUCUAUGGGAGAGUUGAGAUGAUCACAAAUGAAGCCAUGAGUCUCGGUCAACCUAUUGAUGAGCUUCUUGUUGUUCAGAAAAUCCUUCGUGUUCUACCAUCUAGGUUUAGAGCAAAGAAAACCGCAAUCAUGGAGGUCCAAAACUUAAAUGAAAUCAAGCUUGGCAAGCUCGUAGGAAAAUUGAAAACCUAUGAGAUGGAGUUGAAUAUGGAAGAGAAUGAUUCCUCUCUGAAAGGUGGUGAAAAAUCCUCAGGUUUUGAGGAUGAGAUGGCUUUGUUUGUCAAAAAAUUUAGGAGAAUUCUUAGGGAUAAAGGAAAGUUUGCUAGAGAGGGCAGCUCUGGUAGUGAGAGACAAUUUAGACCAUCAACUGAUCGGUCUAAUGAGAGGAACAAGGAUGUCAAACCUUUCACUAAAGAUUUUAGAAAAUCUGUCAAGUGCUUCACAUGUGGAGGCAUUGGGCACUAUGCUGCUGACUGUGCAAACAAUCAGAAAAAAUACUCCAAAGGAAAGGACAAGGCCAUGAAAGUUAGCUGCAGUGAGAGUGAAAGUGAAGUGUCUCAAGAGGAUUCAUCUUCCUCUGAUAAUGAUGACCAACAUGUUGCCUUUGUUGCCUCUGUGCAGCCAGUGUCUGAUGAAUCUGAUUCUGAGUCAGAUGACCUGUCAUACGAGUCAUUAGGAAGAAAAUAUGAUUGUUUGUUCAAAGAGACAUUGUCUUUGAAAGAAGAGAGCCUCAAACUUGAGGCCAACAACCAUGAACUUCAAUAUGAAAUCCUCAUCUUAAAAGAAACCAAAAAGGAGUUGAGUGACAAAUUUGUGUCUCUAGAAAAAGAAUUUGUUGCACUUGUGUCAAUUAGGAGUAAUCUUGAAAAUCAAGUUAAUGUGCUCAAGGAAAGUAAUAUUGGUUUCUAGAACUCAAACAAACUGCUCCUAGGUGAAUUGAAUGAAGCAAAAAGUAAGGUUAUAUCUAUGACCAUUGGUGCCUCAAAAAUUGACAAAAUGUUGACUAUGGGAAAACCUCAUGGGGACAAAGGUGGUCUAGGAUUUAAUCAUUUUGAUUCUAGUUCGUCUAGCUCUACCACUAGGUUUGUCAAGUCAAAAACUCCAACCUUGGCUUCUCUUGAUGCUCAGCCGGUAGUCAAGAAACCUAAGUUUGUUCCAACUUGUCACAGGUGUGGGUUGACUGGUCAUAUUCGACCAGUCUGUCAUAUGUACAAAAAGGAUAAGACUAGAAAAUUGUCUUCAAAAUCUAAAAGGAACCCCAGAUCUUUGCAAGAUCAGGUUGAUCAUUUGCUAAAAGAAGUAACUAAGAUUGCCAAACUUGUCUCCCUUAAAAUGUGUUCACCUACUGUGCCUAAGUCUACUUGGGUUGAAAAAGGUCAUACCAAAUGUCUUGUUGUGCUAAAUGCUUUUGCUGCAUCAAACACCAACUCUUGGUACUUUGAUAGUGGCUGUUCCAAACAUAUGUCUGGUGAUAAGAGUGUCUUCUCAUCUCUCAGUCCUUUUGAUGGAGGUACUGUGACUUUUGGAGGUCACAAGCCUCAAGUUGUUGGAAAAGGUACUGUUUGUAUCCCUAGAUUACCCGAGCUUAAGAAUGUUAGAUGUGUUGAGGGCCUUACAUCCAAUCUCAUUAGUGUGAGUCAGCUGUGUGAUGAUGGAGUAAUAGAAGUUAGAUUCUCCAAGCAUGGGUGCAAAAUCAUUGGAAAAGGUGGCAAUGAGAUUGUGAGCGUGGCUAGGUCUAGGGACAAUUGCUAUUGCAUUGAUGGUGUCAAUGAUGCAAAGAAGUAGUUUGCAAUAAGGUUGUGAAUGAAACAAGUGUCUUGUGGCAUCAAAGGCUUGGACAUGUGAACUUUAGAGACUAGCAUAAAUUGUCCAAGAAAGAGUUAGUGAGUGGUUUACCAAAACUUGACAAAUCUGAUCAACAUGUUUGUGAAGGAUGUCAAUUGGGGAAGCAAGUUAGAGUGUCACACAAGAAGGUCAAACACAUUCAAACACAAGUAAGCCUUGAACUUGUUCACAUGGACCUUGUUGGUCCUAUUCAAACCUUGUCCCUUGGUGGAAAGAAAUAUAUUCUUGUCAUGGUUGAUGAUUUCUCUAGGUUCACUUGGGUCUCAUUCUUACGUGAGAAAUCUGAAACUUUUCUAAGGUUUAAGUCUAUUUGUCAUCUUUUGCAAAAAGAAAAGAUGACUAGUCAUCUGCCCCUUGUUAGAAUUAGAACCGAUCAUGGUUCUGAGUUUGAGAAUUCUCAGUUUCUGAAAUUUUGUGAAGAAAUGGGAAUUAAGCAUGAGUUCUCUGCACCUAUUACACCUCAACAAAAUGGUGUUGUGGAGAGAAAGAAUAGAGUUCUUGUUGAGAUGGCUCGGGUGAUGCUCAAUAGCAAAAAUCUUGCUAAACAUUUUUGGGCUGAAGCUGUAAGUACAGCUUGUUAUAUCUCAAACAGGGUAUUUUUGAGGUCUGGUACCAAACAAACAACCUAUGAGAUUUGGAAAGGAAAGAAGCCUAAUGUGUCAUAUUUUAGAGUCUUUGGUAGCACAUGCUAUAUUUUGAAAGAUAGGGAGCAUCUUGCUAAGUUUGAUUCUAAGUGUGAUAAGGGAAUAUUUCUAGGGUAUUCCACUUCAAGCCGAGCCUAUAGAGUGUACAACUGUACGACCAGAACCAUCAUUGAGUCCAUAAAUGUCAAAAUUGAUGAUUUUGCUGCCUCUACUGAGAUGGCAUUAGAUGUGGAUGGUCUCUUUUCUCCUCCUCUCGUGCAAGAAUCUCCAGGUCUGGAUCUUGUAGUUGACCUGUCAACUUUCGAAAAUUCUGUCCCAGUUGACCUGUCAACUCCUUCAACCUCUAGUUCCAUCUCAUCUGUCCAAGUUGUCAGCUCCCAUGCUGAUCAUAACCCUCUCACUCAAACUGAGAGUGUCAUUAUUGGUCCUCUUAAUCAGGGAGUGAGAACUAGGAAACAAUUAGCUCAAGAAAUUAGUCAUGUGUGUUAGGUCUCAAAAGAAGAACCUAAGAAUGUGAAAGAGGCGUUGAACCAUGGUGAAUGGUUUCUUGCAAUGCAAGAGGAGCUGGAUCAGUUUGUUAGAAAUAAUGUUUGGUACCUUGUUCCCAGACCUACCAAUACAAAUGUUAUAGGUACUAAGUGGAUCUUCAAGAACAAAACUGAUGAGCAAGGUAAUGUUGUUAGAAACAAAGCUAGAUUAGUUGCUCAAGGUUACACUCAAAUGGAAGGUAUUGACUUUGAUGAAACUUUUGCCCCUGUUGCAAGACUAGAAUCAGUUAGAUUACUUCUUGCUAUUGCUUGUCACUUAAAAUUCAAACUUUAUCAAAUGGAUGUCAAAACUGCUUUUUUGAAUGGUAUUUUAAAUGAAGAGGUCUAUGUUGAACAACCAAAGGGUUUUGAAGAUCCACAUCAUCCAAAUGAUGUGUUUCGGUUAAAAAAGGCACUCUAUGGUUUGAAACAAGCUCCUAGAGCAUGGUAUGAGAGGUUAUCUUCUCAUCUUCUAAGAAAUGACUAUGUUAGAGGGUCAGUUGACAAAACUUUGUUUGUAAAAAGGUUCAAAAAUGAUGUCUUGAUUGCUCAAGUGUAUGUUGAUGAUAUUGUGGUUGGUUCUACCUCUGAAUUGCAUGUUCAAGAGUUUAUUCAUGUCAUGACUAGUGAAUUUGAGAUGAGUCUUGUAGGUGAGCUUAACUAUUUCUUAGGUCUUCAAAUCAAACAAAGCCAUGAUGGGAUCUUUGUAUCUCAAUCAAAAUAUGCAAAAAAUCUUGUGCAAAAGUUUGGUUUAGAGGAUGCAAAAUCUGCAAGAACUCCAAUGAGCACUAGUGCUAAAAUUCAUAGAGACUUGCAUGGCAAAAGUGUGGAUCAAACUCUCUAUAGAAGUAUGAUAGGAAGUCUUCUCUACUUGACUGCUAGUAGACCAGAUAUUUCUUAUAGUGUUGGAGUGUGUGCUCGUUUUCAAAGUGACCCAAAAGAGUCUCACUUGUUUGCAGUUAAAAGAAUCAUAAAAUAUGUGAGUGGGACUGUUGAGUUUGGGUUGUGGUAUACCUAUGACACCUAUGUCAGUCUGGUUGGGUAUAGUGAUGCCGAUUGGGCAGGUUGUAGUGAUGAUAGGAAAAGCACUUAUGGGGGGGUCUUUUAUGUAGGCAACAACCUUGUUGCUUGGCAUAGCAAAAAACAGAAUUCUGUCUCCUUAUCCACUGCUGAAGCAGAGUAUGUUGCAACUGGGAGUUGCUGCACUCAACUCCUUUGGAUGAGACAAAUGUUGGAAGACUAUGGUCUUGCUCAAUCAUGCUUUCUCAUCUAUUGUGACAACAUGAGUGCCAUAGACAUUUCUAAAAAUCCUGUUCAACACUCUAGGACUAAGCAUAUUGACAUUAGGCAUCAUUUUAUUAGAGAUCUUGUGGAAGACAAAAUUCUAUCUUUGGAAUUUGUUCCCUCUGAGAAACAGCUAGUAGAUAUACUCACCAAGGCCUUGGACUUUCAGAAACAUGUCACACUUCGGCAGUCCAUUGGCCUUUGCUCAAUUGAUUGAUUAGCUUGUCUGUUCCUUAUCUUCAGCACAUUGCAGAACUGUUGACUAGUCAUCUUCGUUUUAGUUGCCUAGUCAAAUAUUUUUUUUGGUGUGCAAAUGUCUAAAACAUAUGUUUCUUCUAAUCUCUGGUGGUAUGAAGUUUGAAUCAUUUUAUGCCUUGCCUGAUUUGUGCAUAAUUCCCCCCUUCUUGUUUGGAGCCAUUAGAUGAAAUCUUUUGGUGUUCUUUCGUCCUCUUGUUGAGACAAGUGUUGUGAUCCAUUGUGGACAAUCAUUGUUAUAAUCUCCUAUCUUUUCUCACUCUCUUAGGCAAUUUGUUUUAAAAAAAAAAAAAAAGUGUGACCAAUGUAGUCACGACUCUAGGAAUGUAUAAGGUGUUAUGUUUGAAAAAUCUAGAGCAAGAGCCGCAAAAUUAGGCCACUCAAGCACUUAAGUCUGGGAUGUACAAAUAACAAGGAUAAUAAAUGGCCAUAUUGAGUGAUGAAAAUCAAAUGGGUUGAGUUUAUGCCUUGAGUUUGCCUUGAAGGUUUAUUAUAUACUUAUCUCUCCAAGAGGGGUAUUUCUUCAUCUCUUGUGUUCUUCUUUUGGCUCUGAACCUCCUCUGUCCAUUUUGCCUUAUCUCUGAGCAUGAAAUCUAAUUCAUAUUCUGUCUAUCAGAGUUAGUUGCACUUGUUUUUUUUAUGUUUGCACAUGUGGUUAUCCUCUCUCUCUCUUCCUUCCUGUGCUUGAAGAUUUGGACUAGGCUAUUGUAGCUAAUACAUCGUUGAUCACUUGAUAUUUGCUAGUUCAUGUUUGUUUGUUUUUUUUUAAAAACCCACAAUCUUGUCUUCCACAGGGUCGAUACUAACUUUGAUGCGUGUCAUAUUAUUGCCUUAGUUGACUAGUCAUCUAUGCUUAUGGUUGACUAGUCAUCCGGUUGUGUUAUAUUUGAUGCCCGUCAUGUUAUUGCCUUAGUUGACAAGUCAUCAUUUUUGUGGUUGACUAGUCAUCUAGUUCUGCCUGUUUUUGUUAUUGCCUUGGUUGACUAGUCAUCAUGCUCAUUGUGGUUGACUAGUCAUCAGGUUUUUCUCUUGAACGAUACGUCUUUUUCUUUAGCGGUUAUUCUGAUUUUUAUUUUCAUUUUUUUCUCCUCUUCUUUGUGUUUUGGGCGGUUCUUUUUCAUUGGGGUCAGUUUUUGCAUUUUUUUUUUCUCUCUUUCCUUUUUUAGGUCUAUUUCCCUCUCCUUCGUCAGAGUCUUCUUUCACUCUCGUUCUCUCUCUGUUCUCUUCAGACACAGACCCAGGCCCCCAGCUUCCCUUUCUCCCUCUGUGUUAGUCUCUUCGCCCCUUCUUCCCUCUGUCUUUCUCUUCCAAUUUCUUCCCACUGCCACCAUGUCGUCCUCCGCGCCCUUCCUCGCUUACCAGUGCCGCUCCAAAUCCAAAUCCAAUGACAAAGUGGAUUUUAUACCCUCCAUUCCUAGGGCUCCUAGGACUCGCUCUUCUCACUCUGUUCCCGCUGGAGACUCCUCCCCGUUUGUGUCUCCUGAGGCAGUCUCGUUCUUCGAUGGUGUUGUCUUUAAAAGGAAGUUUGUGCCUGAGAGAGCUUACCAAAUUGAUGCUCUCCCCUUAGCGGCCCAGGGUUCUGCAACUCAGAUUUUUGAGCACUACCAUCUCCAUUCUCUCAACACUUUGUCUGGUAAGUUCAAUGCUUCUGUCGUUAAAGAGUUUUACUCGAAUUUUCCUGCUGAUCCUAAGGGGUCUAAUUAUCAGUGUGUUGUUCGUUCUGUGCCCAUUACUCUGAGACCCUCUGUCAUUAAUAGGGUUUUAGGUUUUCGGUCUUGCCCUGGUUUUGAUUCUGAUCAGUUUGCCCUUGCCUCUUCUCAAUACACUGUUGAUCUGUUUAAAACCAUGGCCUAUACUGAUCAAACAAUGCCCUUGACUUCUAAAGGUUUUCCUAUCAAGUCUUAUCUGCCACCAUUUUACAAAUUUCUAUGGGAUUUUAUCCGUCACAAUGUUCUCCCAACUGGAAAUAAUUCAAACCCCACUCUGGCUGGCUGUCAACUCAUGAUUUCAAUGGUGAAUCAUGAUAAAAUUCCCUUUGGGGAUAUUCUUUAUCGUGCAAUUCUUGGCAAGACCAUAGGUCAUGGUACAAAACACAAGGGGACUCUUGUCUUCCCCUGUCUUAUCCAGCGUCUUUGUGAGAGAAACCAGGUGGUUUUUCUUGACUCUGAUCAGUGGAAUCCUCUCAUUGCUCAGUUUGGCAAGGCAUCUGUUGCCCUUAGCCACAAAGUUUCAAAAACCUUUCUCACCUCUGUGUCAUCUACUUCUGAAAAUGCCUAUCUUAGAUCUCAGCUUGCUGCCAAGGAGAAACAUAUUCAAUAUCUGUUAAGCCUCAUUCCAUCCUCUUCAGUUCCUGCUGCUGCUGCUGCUGAAGUACAUCCUCAACUGACUCCUGCCACGGAGGUCUCAGAUGAUUCUAUAGAUUCUGAUGAGUCUGCUGAUUCGCUUGUUUUUUAGCUACAGUGAUCUUGUUGGCAGUGUCCUAGAUAGGGGGAGUAUUUUUGGACAUGUAUAUGUUUGUAAUCCCCUUGUGGAAAUUUGUUUUUUGCUUGGGUAGUCUGUGCAUCUUGAUAGGAGGAGUUGUGUUGUAUUAUUUUGAACAAGUGAUUUUUGCUUAGUAAUCAACCUAUGUUAUGUGUUUUUCACUUUGUUCAAAUCUGAUUAUCUGCCUUGUGUUUCAUUCCCUUGUAUGCUGACUCUCUCUCCUUGCCUUUUUGUUGCACUUUCCUUAUCAACAAGGGGGAGAACACUCUCAACCCCCAUAUUGCAUAUUGUUUCAAAAUUCUGUGAUAUAAUAUGCCUAUUUUUGUGCCUGGAAGAUUGGUUGUUCUUGCAGGUACCCUCACUUCAUCAUCUCCUUAGGUUGGGUUUUGGGUUGAGUGUUGUUAGAGAGUGUGUUGUCAAGGAAAGCCAAAAAGGGGGAGAUUGUUAAUGUAUGCAUUUGUUUUUUUUUCUUUUGGCUUCCCUUGACAACUUUGUAAUAGGAUUUCUAUUGUUAUUUAUCAAGCUCAAGUUUUGAUUAAGAAUAGCUUCUCUAGGUGUUCUUAACUAACAACUAUCAUAUGGAGGUUCAUGCAAAUUGGCAAAGGUAAAUUGUGCGUUGCAUAACAUUGCAUCAUACUGUUUUCAUAAAAUGAUGACUAGUCAUCUGUUUCUUGGAUGACUAGUCAUCCUUGCUCUCCAGCUUGAUAACCAACUUUUUUGUCCUAUUCCUUUUUCUCUCUCUGCUGCCACAUGGCAUUCUGACCUAAGGGAAUAUUUUGGUCUGUAUAGGCCUUGCGAUUUCUGUUUUGGAAAGCUGUCUCUUUUGUGUGGAAUUUGGAGGAAAGAUUGUUUUUCGAUCUUUCCGUUCUUCCUCCUCAAGAGAGAACAAUAUUUCAUCUAUGAGUUUUUCCAAAUUGAUAUCUUUAUGAUAAAACUGCAUUUGAAAUAUGAAUAUGCAACUAGCUUCAUAAAAACAUUCUCUCAUUAAUAUCUAGAUCAAAUUCACUACUGAUUUCUUCAAGAGUAUGGUUUCUUGAAGAAAUUGGUCAUUCUCCUUUGAAUCCAAAGUUUGGUUUCUGUUUAAGUUAAGCUUGCAAGCUGGUGCCAUGAGAUGAAUGAGCUGAAGAAGAAGCUGCCAUUGCCAUGAAGAACUGGGCUUCAAGCUUUGCUAAGUUGGGGAAGAAGAUUGCACAAAGGAGGUAUUGCUCAUCUUCCUAAAUAGAUCUAGGUUUUGCUUGAGCUUGCUUGUGUUCCUUUGUAAGAAUCUUUUUCCACUUAGUGGAUUGCCUGGUCGGUUGAUGACCCCCAGUUUUUCCCAAUGGUGGGUUUCUGGGUGAACAAUUUCUGAUUGUAUCCUUGUAAUUUUUCUGGGUUUAUGUUCUUGGUGGUCGACUAGUCAUCGUAUAAAUUAUGGUUGACUAGUCAUCAUUAUCUGCUGUUUGAUGUUUGCUUGAUUAUGCUGUCUUCACACACUUUCACUAUAGUUGUUGCUAGCACAGGGGAUGCCUAGAUUGAUGGGUCCUUCUGAGUGCCUAGGUUGUCACUAGUAAUUCUCUAGGCCUGUAGGUACAUCAUGGUAUGCUCUGUGUAUGUUGUUGUUUGGUAUAAUUCAUAUCUGACAGUUGACUAGUCAUAAGUGUGAUUGGCCAAGGUCUAGAGUGUGUGAAGUUUGUUGCAUCUUUUGGCUGAAUAUCUUUUAAGUUUACCCAUCGUCACCUAAGUACCGUUUUCAAUCUCUUUUGAGAGUUUGAUUUAGGGAUUUUGAUCGUCUCAUAUCUGAAAAUUUUGACUAUUACUGUUUUUUUUCUUCAUUAAGAACUUUUAUCGUUUUAAUAGAGAGAGAAUACAAAGUGGAAAUUUGAUGCCACAACACUUGUUGAUUAUCUCGUGAAGAACGCAAGUUCCACUGAUCAACCUUCACUUUUACCAAUUAGAUGAGCUUAGAACUUUUUUAAUUUGAAUCAACAUUCAUGAUUAAAAAUGAUGUUCUAUGACUGGCAGCUAUCCUUUUGGAACUAUUGAAAUUCUUUAGAUCAUUGAAAGUAGACAAAUGGCUUAAUUUUGAUUAAGAUUUUUAUGCUUGAAAACUUAUAGAUGGUAUUCUUACAAUGUGAAUAGGAAUAUCAAAACAUUAGAGUUGAACAAUGUCCAAGAUGGCACCUGUCAUGGUCAGGGUUAUACAAUAUACAUAGGUAGCCUUGGGGUGAAAGUCAUUCUUUGAGCUACGGAUUGUUGUGAAUCAUGAGCUUAAUAAAUUGGGCAUUUACCAUUCCAGAAAUUGGCUACAGCUAUGAUUGGAAGUUGACUUGAAAUGUAAUUAAUUUUCCCGAAGAUAUGGGACUGUGGGUGCUCCAAUAUUUUGAUGAUACCAUAUCUGUAUUAAGAUAGGAGAAAUUGCUUUGACAUAAAAGAAAAAACUACUGAAGAUGAAUUGAUGAUUGCAUAUGCAUGUGCGGGAAGAAGGGGAAACUAAAGAGACUCUUCACGGUUUGGGCCUUUAGUUUUUGGUGAAAUUCUUUAUUUAUUACACCUUAAUAAAUAUUUGAUAUUAAAAAGGCAGCUGGGAUUACGUCUCCAAGAAAAACAGGGAGGAGAGAGAAAAUCAUUUCUUUUAUUUUUAUGAGAGAGAAAAAAAAAUUAAUGAUUGUCUAUUUAAAAAAUUAAAACUACUUACCAUGUGAGGUUUAAUCUCAACCAUUGAAAGUGGAGUAAUCUAAUGGCCCAAAAAUUAUGUCAAAAAUAUAGUGUCACGGAUCCGCCCCAUAUAUAUAAUAUAAUAUAAUAUAAAGCAAAAAGAAUUUAAAAGAUAAAAACUUUUGGCCUUUUACAGGCUUGGGCAUGCCAACACGCAAGUUAUGCUCGACAAAAUUUGAAAAACACACAUGCCAACCACUCGAGCUCUUUGUCUGUCGUGUCUCCAUCAAUCCCUCUGUCUCUUCUCCAUCAAUCCCUCUGUCUCUCUCAGCAAUAGGUACAUAGAUGAAGGAGGGACAUUAAAACCCCAAUGGACAGAUGUAUGAUAAUAAUUAUCAAAUAAACGUGUAGAGAAUAUGACUAGUCAAAGACCCUUGAAUAUAUAAGCAUAACACAGAUGCACGACAUAUCAAACAUUUAAAUUCUUGCAAGCCUAGAAGAAAACUACGUGAUAACCUAGGCACUCAGAAAGACCUAUCAAUCUAGACAUCCCCUGUGCUAGCAACAACUAGAGUGACAAGUGUGUGAACAUUCAUCAACAUUUCAGAUAUAACACAAACAAUAUGACUAGGCAUAUAAAUCAGAGAAUCACACUAGAAAUGUUUACGCAGAAACCCACCAUUGGGAAAAACUAGGGGUCAUCACUCCGACCAGGCAAUCCACUAAGUUAAGAAGGUUCUUAUAAAAAAAGUAAUCACAAGCUCAAGCAAUCCUAGGUCUAUUUAAGAAAUGAGCACUACCUCUAUUUUCAACCUUCUUCUCCAAACUUAGUUGAGCUAGUAGCUUGUCCUUCAUGGAAAUAACAGCUAGUUCAUCAACUCCUUCACCCCCUGGCACCACAACUCAGCUACGGAUUGACAGAUCGAAAUUGGAGGAUAGCUGGGCGGUAGUAUGGGGCUAAAUCUUCUUUCUAUUACUUGCACAUGACUCAAUUAAAAGUAAGUCAGGCUACUAGGAAGAGGACGUAUUGAGAAUACAUGCUAUGCAAUGAGAGCCCCAAUUUAAGCACGAUCAAAAUUGGAGGGCGAAAAUGUGAUUGAGGUAUUAUUUAAGGACAAUCACCACAACUAAGCAGAAGUUGAGGUUUCACACAUGGAUAAACGGGCUCUGAUACUAUAAAGGAAGUUGAGGUUCACUCCAAAACCAAUUCGCAAAAGAGAGAGUAGCUCAACUCUUCAUAAGCCCUUACUAAGUUCAUUGACUUUCCAAUGUCUAACAUUUUCAUCUUCACAUUGUCAUACUUUGGCCCUUAGAGAUUGACACCUUAUCCGAAUUUUUAUAAGGUAUCUAAAAAGUAAUCCCUUUUUCUUUUUUGAUUUCAUCAAUAAUAGUAAGCGAAUAAAUACUAUAGCCACUCUUACAGACCUAAAACAUUAAAUAUUUGAAGCACAUGUAACAACAGAGCGCAGCCACCUCUAACUUCUUAAGCAGUGCGUUCAACAUCUCACUCUUUGCGAAAAAAAUUUAAAGAUUGAUGCAAAUUUAACCCCCGCUCUAGGUCUUGGUGUUCGAAAACCAUACAAAGAAUCGGAACAUACUCUCUUUCUCCCCCCUCUUUAGGUUUCAAGUCAAGCCAAGAUGCAAUAAAAGUGCUGUCCUGUCAAUGUGAUCACAAAGCGGAAUCCACCUUCUCUCUUUAUUGGGCUUGGGGUUCGGUGAAUAGGUGGGCAGUAGGCGGGGUGGGUGUGUCUGGCUGUGGGAUUUAAAGCUACUUUCUUUUCCACUUCUAUUACUUGCAGAUUAGACUCUCUUUUUUGGCCACUUGCACAUUAUUCAAUAGUGAAAGUAGUUCAAGUCACUUAACAGGUGAGAGGACGUGUUGAGAAUAAAUAUUAUGCCACGUCCGUUUUUGAGUGCAUUUUUCUGACCACCCUUAAGCCUCACCACUCCUUUCAAAGUUUGGCAAAUGUAAAUGGGUUAAUUUCAGUUUGGUAUUCCGUAGUUGUACUCUUAAAGUACUCCGUAGUUGUAUCCUAUGGGAUAUCAAACUGAAAUGAAUCCUAUGUAAAUUAAAGUAACCAUGGUUAAAAGUUUGCAGGUAAUAUGUUUUUCAUGCCACAGUUAUAUGAGAGAAAUUGAUGUAUUCAUUAAAAAUUAUUACUUCUAUCAAUUUUUUCCUUCCUUGCAACGUUUGUUUUUUUGCAAAUGUGAGUUGGGUUAGUUGGCCAAGGUAGUGUGCCCACAUUAUGGCACUCGAGAUCGAUUUUCCUCUCCUUAGAUUAGAGUGCCCAUCUUGUUGCACCUGAGUUCGAACUAUGCUGAUGGGAAUUUGAACUGGAGUGGAAUGACAUAAUUACAUGGUAUAACAAAAUAACAUUGAAUAAUGCCAAGACCAUGCUCAUAAUCCUGAGAGUUAAAUAUAAGGACGACGUCGUAUUUUAUUGUAUAUGAAAUCUUUAUAGAAGGUGCACUAUAACUAAUGGCUGUUGGACAAAGAACAAAAAAACAUGGGUGUCGAAUUCAGAAAAAACUUAAUACCUUGAUGUAUAUAUCCUUUUAGUUCACAAUCUUAGAUCUUUCUUUAGACUAUUGCGUACUUGUGUUAAUUUACAAGUUCAUUUACAAAGAUGAUUACCAAUUUCCUCACACUUAGAAGAAGAAUAAUAAUAUAUAACAAUACUUGAUUAUUCCCUAAAGAAUCUAACAUCGAACCAGCAACUUCCCUUCUUCUUCUUUUUCUUCCUUUAUCAUUAUUUUCAACAAUCUCUUCUUGACUAGGAUCCAACUGGGCAAGUUACCAAAUCAAGCUCAAAAUCGAAUUUAUUUUAUUUUUUGAUUCCUAAAAUACCGUCAACUAAGCCAUUAUUGCAUUUUGUAUAUUAAUGUAGACCAAUAUAGAAACAAUUUUUAUUUGGAUUGUAACUAAUGAGACACAUUGAAUUUGAAAAGAUCUCCAAAUGGAUGUUGGAAUUGAUUCAGAAUUUUUUUUUAAUUUAACAAUAAAUUCAUAUGUAACAUACCUAAUCGGUUUAUUUAAUAUAAAAAAUUAUUUAUUUAUUUAUUUACGAAGUAUAGGUGAUUAAUUAUCUAUUAUAUUAUUAUUUUAUAUAUAUAAUAGCGUACAUAAAAUUUUAUGUUGGAAAAAUAACAUACCUAUUACUUCAGUUACGAAAAAUAAUGUUUGGGGCUAAAUUCCAAUAACAAUUUUUAAUUGGAUGGUAUCUAGGAAAUAGAAAUUGUAGGGGCCUAUAUUAAACUAGUUAUUAUAUCAUCGUUCUUGAUCAUAAUACGUUAUGAUAUACUCAAUUAGAACAUGAGUAUUUCAACUCAAAAUUAAUUGACAACAAGUGAGAUUCACACUCUCAACAAUCUUAGGUCUAUUUUGCAUGGAAGAUCAAUUAACAAUGAGAGAGAAAUAGUUUCUUUUUACACCUUUUUUUUUUUUUUUUUUUUGAGAGAGAGAGAGAGAGAGAGAGAAAUAGUUUCUAAGGAACCAAUGAAGAAGAGUUCGCCCAUAAAGAUGAGCAAGAGUUUCCAUGAGAGAGAAAUUUGUUAUGAGCAAUUAACGCCAAUUGUUGGAGAUAGGACAGAAAACAUUAAUGGAGAAGGGUGCAAUUAGAUUAUCUUUCCAAAACCAGAGGUUGGGGAACGGCAGCAAAACCAGACUCUGAAGGUAGUCCCAAUGAAAUCUUUGGAUUGCUUUUCUAUACAGUAGUAUAGAAAAAAGGAAAAAAAGAAGGCCCCAACUUUACUCUGUCCGUCCCCGUACCUUAGCUUUAAAGCCCGCUUGGCUUUACAAAAAAGAAAGCAAAAAAGAAAUAAAAAUGCUUUUGAAUUAUUAUUUUCACGUGUAGAAGUUACGUACUCCCUCUAUAUAAACCCCAUGCAAUAUAGCAGGAAGAGCACACCUAGCUCGAUCAUCAAAAACCCUCCACUCAGUUAUGGCAUUGCAAUUCCGCUCUUUGCUCUUGUGUGUGGUGCUGCUGCUCCUUUGCUUUGCAUUGGCAAAUACCAAUGCUGCCAGGACAGAUCCACCCGUUGUUUGUGCAACUCUCAACAGGACUCAUUUCGAUACUCUUUUUCCAGGAUUCACAUUUGGCGCAGCUACAGCAGCUUACCAAGUCAGUGCAUUCUGGGAGCUUAAUUAAUAUUACUCAUGAAUUUGUUUUAAUUUUUUGUUUCAUAUAGUUACUUUACUUAGCAUGUGUCAUUUAUGAAUAUUGGCAUCUUCAUUCUGUAAAUCGUGUUUUAUAUGUAUAUCUGUAUGUGCAUUUCAGUUAGAAGGUGCUGCAAACAUAGACGGUAGAGGACCAAGCGUAUGGGAUAACUUCACCCAUGAGCAUCCAGGUCUGUUGAAUCAAACAAUCAAUUAGUUAACAAAUCUUCUAUUUUCUAUUUUUUUAGGUGACUAAAUUGAUGAUCAGUUACUUCAUUUCAAAAGCUAUAAAAAAUGUAUAAACAAGCCAAUGCUUCAUGGAAAUUAGUUAUUCUUCACUUACAAAGUGCUCAAUGGGAACUGCGCAGAAACCAUGACCUUACCCAGCAAAGAUCUGACAACUCUCCUAGAUCAAAGAAGAUAGUUAGAAAGUUGUAAAAAAUUGAAUAAGGGUAAUCAUGGAAAAUAAAACUCAAAUGUUUUAAUGUAUUAAUGUAUCAUUCAAAAAUGUAAUUAAGAGGAAUAAUACAUCGCACAAGAGAAGAAGUGAGAAGUUCCAACCAAGAUGGUUAGGGUGAAGGUUGCGAGCAUUCCCCUAUUUAAAUAUCUAGAUAGCUAAAUUUCUUUGUAUCUUUAUUUAUAACUAAAAUUACAUUUGAUUAAUUGCAGAAAAGAUAACUGAUGGUAGCAAUGGAGAUGUUGCUAUUGAUCAAUAUCACCGUUAUAAGGUUUGAAAAUCACAUAAUUGUAUUAUGUAGACCUUCUAUAUUUGAAUUUGAACACACGACAUUAAGGAUGAUAUCCUUAAUUUUUAGCUUCUUUUUGUUAUUUUUAUAAUUAUGUACAUCUUUUGUGUCAUUAUAGGAAGAUGUGGCAAUUAUGAAGGAUAUGGGGUUGGAUGCUUAUAGGUUCUCUAUCUCAUGGUCCAGAUUGUUACCAAGUAAGUUGAUCAUCCGCAUCCACAUAUAUUAUUGCGACCAAUCGCUUUAAUGUUUAACAUCUUUUAUUCAAUUUAAUUCCUAUUUCAUGAUAGGUAUUGGCUUAUAUUUUUCUUGUUUUGUUUUAAUUAUUAUUAGAUGGAAAACUAAGUGGUGGAAUUAACAAGAAGGGAAUCGAAUACUACAAUAAUCUCACCAAUGAACUCCUACGCAAUGGUGAUACAGCUCCCAAUCUCAUAAAAUCCUCCUAAUAUAACAACAGUACCUGCAGUUGUUUAAUCAAACUUCUAAUUUUCUUUUACUGGUCAUGCUACAUAUAGGUAUAGAGCCAUUAGUGACACUCUUCCACUGGGAUGUUCCCCAAGCCUUAGUAGACGAAUAUGGUGGUUUGUUAAGCCCUCGUAUUGUGUAAGUGGACAAAUUCCAUCCUUUGUAUAAUAUUGAUCACUUAAUUAUAUAAAUACUAUUAUAUACAAUAAAUACAUAUUUCAAUGUGUACACGCAGCGAUGACUUUAAAGCAUACGCAGACCUUUGUUAUAAGGAAUUUGGUGAUCGAGUAAAGCAUUGGACCACACUUAAUGAGCCAUAUACCAUUAGUAACCAUGGUUACACAAUCGGGAUCCAUGCACCAGGACGAUGCUCUGAUUGGUACAACCAAAAUUGCCUUGGUGGAGAUUCGGGUAUUGAACCAUAUUUGGUGACACACUAUCUACUCCUUGCUCAUGCAGCUGCUGUAAAAUUGUACAGAGAAAAAUAUCAGGUACUUCCGUCAGUCUUUUUUCUUUUUAUUUUAGAAAUUGAGGUCCAACGAGUAACUAGUAUUAUUAUAUAACAACAUAAGUGGGAAUACUUUUUAUUUUGAGAAAAACGACGGUUGUAAUAAUAUAAUUUUUUUUUUCUUUGCUUUAAAUCAACAUAUUUUUUAUUUUUUAUUUAUCUCUCUAGAGCAGGCAUAUCAAAAUGGUGUCAUAGGAAUAACUGUUGUAUCACAUUGGUUUGAGCCCGCUUCAGAGUCACAACAAGAUAAAGACGCUGCAUUUCAAGCUUUGGAUUUUAUGUAUGGAUGGUAAGUGUAUUAUUAAUUUAUAUAUCAACUCAUUUAAAUGCUUUAUUUUUGAAUUAUAACUUCAGUUAGGUAGCCUGUGGUAGUUUAUAUAAUGUUAUAAGCUCACGUUUGGAAUUUUCAUAGGUUUAUGGACCCAUUGACAAGAGGUGACUACCCGCAGAUCAUGCGAUCCAUUCUUGGUGCACGGUUACCGAAUUUCACGGAAGAACAAUCCAAGUCACUGAGUGGGUCAUAUGACUAUAUUGGAAUAAACUACUACUCUGCUAGAUAUGCAAGCGCUUAUCCUAAGGAUUAUUCUGUAACUACACCUCCAAGCUACCUAACAGAUGUUCAUGUUAAUGUUACAAGUGAGUACAAAUUGAAAAUUUCAAGAAAUUAAUGUAGUUCUCCAAAUAAUUAGAUCCUGAUAUUCAUAUUCAUUUAUGUUGUAGCAGCUGAUCUUAAUGGGGUCCCCAUUGGUCCACGGGUACGCAAUAAAUUAUUAGCUUAAGUUAUUGGGAUUUUGAGAAUUAAUAGCUAUAUAUGCAUAUAUUUUGUUUUCCAUAUACACAUAAAGUGCUAAAAGUCUCACUGAUCUUCAAAUGGGAUUGCAGGCUGCUUCAGACUGGUUAUAUGUUUACCCAAAAGGACUUUACGAUCUUGUACUCUACACAAAGAAAAAGUAUAAUGAUCCGAUUAUGUACAUUACUGAGAAUGGUACGUAAUUAAUAUUUUUAAACAUUAAUUAAUUGCAUCAUCAAUGUUUCACAUUUAUGUAUAAUGGUGUAAAAUAAAGUGAAGUGUUGUAAACUCUAAACUUAAAACUAAAUGUACAUUUUUUCUUCGGUUAAACAAAUUGUAUGCAUUUGAUACUGCAUUAUAUUGCAGGCAUGGAUGAGUUCAAUAAUCCCAAAUUAUCACUCGAGCAAGCCCUUAAUGAUGCUAAUAGAAUUGAUUACUACUAUCGCCACCUCUGUUACCUCCAAGCAGCAAUGAAGUAAGUUUUUCUCAACAAAUUAAUUAAGGCUAUAUAUGUUUUGGCCUUCUUACAUUUCGGUUAUUUAAUCACUAUAUUGAACCAAUUAUGUUCUUCUUCUUUUUUGGGUGUUUGUAGGGAGGGUGCUAAUGUGCAAGGAUAUUUUGCAUGGUCUUUGCUAGACAACUUUGAAUGGAGCGAAGGAUAUACUGUUCGAUUUGGUAUCAACUAUAUUGAUUAUGACAAUGGACUGGAAAGACACUCAAAACUCUCGACGCACUGGUUCAAAAGUUUUCUCAAGAGAUCCUCAAUUAGUAAGAAGAAUAUCCAAAGAUGUGGGAACAGUAAUGGUAGGGCUACCAAAUUUGUGUAUCAAAUUUGAAUCCCAAGGAUGGAUAAAGUACAAUGGCUCUUCCAUGGUGGUUGUGUGAGCUAUUUUUCAUGUUUUAACUUUUUGUAUUACUUUUUCUGAGUCGGAAUAAGUUUCAACCACUCAUUACGAGUUAGUUGUCUUUCCUUGUGAGGGUUUAUUUUUAAUUUUUACUUUAUGUUGUUGACGUGCCUCGUUUAUCCAAGUUUGUUGACUUUAUGCGGUGGAGGUGCUUUGGCGGGUUGUGGAUAUGAUUGGAGGGAUAUCUUAUUGUCUAGAUGUUGUUGAUGUAUCCUUCAUGUAUUUGUAUUAGUCCUUGUGAUCAGUGCUCUUUACAAUUAAAUUAUAUAUGUAAUUUCUUCUAAAUAAAAACGUUAUAAAUAAAAAUAAAAACUAAAAUAAAUAAAUGUUGAGCCGUGACGGAAAUAUUUGCCACUUAUGGCAUAUAGUUUGUCUUAAGUUGAAAUUAACUUAGAACAAGAUACUAGUGUAUAAAUUCUUUAUAGAUCUAUUAAAAAUUCAAAAGAAAAUGCUCAAUCAGGUGCUUAUUUGAGAAAACGUCAAGUCGGCUAUCAGCACAAUACCUUUCUUCAAAAGAAAACUAAUGUUGCUUGUAUGAUUAAUUUCAUGUGUACAAAUUAUACAUAGACUUUAGCUUAUAUAUAUUUUAAUUUCAAUACAAUACUCCUUACGCCACAUAAACUUUAGCUUUCUUUAUAAACGAGAUGAUAAUUUAUUUUUUCAAAAGAAAUCCAUCCAUUGUGAUCGGCCACAAUGAGAGACUUUUUUUCAUCCUGCACAAUACCAUCCAUUUAUCAAACAAAACAAAAAAAUAAAUAAAAAUCCACCAGGCCCUUCCCAAAGCAAAAAGCUCAUAAGAGACAAAGCCCACUCUCUAUCCUUCUUCCCAAUUGUGGUAAAUCUUUGGUCACCACUUUAUGGUUUAGAGGUGAACCAAACCAAACUGCUUGGGCCUAGGGACAAAGGAACAGUAUAUGCUUAGUAGACUCUUUAAAUACGUUAGAAGAGAAAGUAAAUGAUAUUAUUCCGGCUGCGUAAUUUUGCCUCAGCCACCAUCUGAGGGUUGGCCUGUGUUCAUGGCUAUUCCUGAUGACUGCAAUUUUGGACUUCUGAUGACAAUUGUUUGCAGCGUGGACGGUCUUUUUUUUUAUUUCUCUAUGUAACAAGAUUUUGGAGAUUUUGGGUAUAUAAUUCGGUGUAUGGUUUGCAAUAUUCAAAACCACUUGUUCAAUCGAAUCAGACAGGUGGUAUUAUAAAAUAUAUAUAUAUAUAUAUAAUAUAUGUAGUACAAAUAAUUUAAAAGAUAAAAACUUUUGGCUUUUGUCGGGCUUGGGCAUUUCAACACGCAAGUUAUGCUCGACAAAAUUUGAAAAACACACAUGCCAACCACGCGAGCUCUUUGUCUGUCUUGUCUUCAUCAGUCCCUCUCUUUCUCUAUCUCUCUCUCUCUGCAAUUGGUACAUAGGUGAAGGAGGUAAAUUAAAAUCCCAAUGGACAGAUGUAUGACAAUAAUUAUCAAAUAAACGUGGAGACAAUAUGACUAGUCAAUAACUAGUCAUAGACCCUUGAACAUAUAAGCAUAACACAGAUGCACAACAUAUCAAAUAUUUAAAUUCCUGCAAGCCUAGAAGAUAACUACGUGACAACCUAGGCACUCAGAAAGACCUAUCAUCUAGGCAUCCCCUGUGCUAGCAACAAUUAGAGUGAUAAGUAUGUGAACAUUCAUCAACAUUUCAGAUAUAACGCAAACAGUAUGACUACGCAUAUAAAUCAGAGAAUCACACCUGAAAUGUUUAUGUAGAAACCCACAAUUAGGAAAAACUAGGGGUCAUCACUCCGACCAGACAAUCCACUAAGUUAAGAAGGUUCUUAUAGAAAAAGUAAUCACAAGCUCAAGUAAUCCUAGGUCUAUUUAGGAAAUGAGCACUACCUCCAUUUUCAACCUUCUUCUCCAAACUUAGUUGAGCUAGUAGCUUGUCCUUCAUGGAAAUAACAGCUAGUUCAUCAACUCCUUCACCCCAUGGCACCGCAACUCAGCUCCGGAUUGACAAAUCGAAAUUGGAGGAUAGCUGGGUAGGUGUAGAGCAGGAUAGCUGGGCGGUAGUAUGGGGCUAAAUCUUCUUUCUAUUACUUGCAGAUGACUCAAUUGAAAGUAAGUCAGGCUACUGGGAAGAGGACGUAUUGAGAAUACAUGCUAUGCAAUGAGAGUCCCAAUUUAAGCACGAUUGAAAUUGGAGGACGAAAAUGUGAUUGAGGUAUUAUUUAAGGACAAUCACCACAACUGAGCAAAAGUUGAGGUUUCACACAUGGACAAACGCGCUCUGAUACUAUACGGGAAGUUGAGGUUCACCGCAAACCAAUUCGCAAAAGAGAGAGUAGCUCAACUCUUCAUAAGCCCUUACUAAGUUCAUUAACUUUCCAAUGUAUAACAUUUUCAUCUUCACAUUGUCAUACUUUGGCCCUUAGUGAUUGACACCUUACCCGAAUUUUGAUAAGGUAUCUACAAAGUAAUCCCUUUUUCCUUUUUGAUUUCAUCAAUAAUAGUAAGCGAAUAAAUACUAUAGCCACUCUUACAGACCUAAAACAUUAAAUAUUUGAAGCACAUGUAACAACAGAGCGCAGCCACCUCUAACUUCUUAAGCAGUGCGUUCAACAUCUUAGUCUUUGCGAAAAAAAUUUAAGAUUGAUGCAAAUUUAACCCCCGCUCUAGGUCUUGGUGUUCGAAAACCAUACAAAGAAUCGGAACAUACUCUCUUUCUCCCCCCUCUUUAGGUUUCAAGUCAAGCAAAGAUGCAAUAAAAGUGCUGUGAAUGUGAUCACAAAGCGGAAUCCACCUUCUCUCUUUAUUGGGCUUGGGGUUGGGUGAAUAGGUGGGGCAGUAGGCGGGUGUGGGUGUGUCUGGCCUUGGGGUUUAAAGCUACUUUCUUUUCCACUUCUAUUACUUGCAGAUUAGACUCUCUUUUUUGGCCCCUUGCACAUUAUUCAAUAGUGGAAGUAGUGGACGUGUUGAGAGUAAAUAUUAUGCCACGUCCGUUUUUGAGUGCAUUUUUCUGACCACCCUUAAGCCUCACCAUCCCUUUCAAAGUUUAGCAUAUGUAAAUGGGUUAAUUUCAGCUUGAUAUUCCGUAGUUGUACUUUUAAGGUACUCUAUAGUUGUACUUUAUGGGAUAUCAAAUUGAAAUUAACCUUAUGUAAAUUAAAGUAACCAUGGUUAAAAGUUUGCAAGGAAUAUGUUUUUCAUGCCACAAUUAUAUGAGAGAAAUUGAUGUAUUCAUUAAAAUUAUUUCUACUAUCAAUUUUUUCUUUCCUUGCAACUUUUGUUUUUUUGCAAAUGUGAGUUGGGUUAGUUGGUCAAGGUAGUGUGCCCACAUUAUGGCACUCGAGAUCGAUUUCCUCCCCCUAAAUUAAAGUACCCAUCUUGUUGCACCUGAGUUCGAACUAUGCUAAUAGGGAUUUUGAACUGGAGUGGAAUGACAUAAUCACAUGGUAUAACAAAACAACGUAGACUAAUGCCAAGACCAUUCUCAUAAUCCUGAGAGUCAAAUAUAAGGACGACGACGUAUUUUAUUAUAUAUGAAAUCUUUAUAGAAGGUGCACUAUAACUAAUGGCUGUUGGACAAAGAACAAAAAAACAUGGGUGUCGAUUAAGAAAAAACUUAAUACCCUGAUGUAUAUAUCCUUUUAGUCUACAAUCUUAAAUCUUUCUUUAGACCAUUGCGUACUUGUGGUAAUUUACAAGUUCAUUUACAAAGAUAAUUACCAAAUUCCUCAUACUUAGAAGAAGAAUAAUAAUAUAUAACAAUACUUGAUUAUUCCCUAAAGAAUCGAACAAUACUGCCUAUUGACUUGCCAUUGCAUCAUGGCUGUUAUGUUGUCCACAAUAUCCUGGCUUCUCUGUGUUGUGGCCUCCUAUUAGAACACAGCCUCCUGCAUUUGAUUCAACCUCCUGGGGCCAGCCCUGGAGCGUCUACUUCCGGUACUGCCAUGGGUUGAUUGCCUAACAUCACUUUCUUUUGACUCCAGCCCUUCUUGGAGAGCUGCUUGAUCUCUUUCAAUUGUGCAGCGUGGGUUCUGGCUAGAACUUCCAAUAUUCAUAUACUUUAAAAAAUUUCUCUAGGAGUAUGUAUACUGAGAAGUCCCACCGGGCGUGCCAAAUUGUUCACCCGUUUUGUGUUUGCUCCUGUGAUGGAAGGGUAAAGUUCCCCAAUGCCUUAAAAACCAUUGACUGGUCAACGAGUCAACUUUCUUUAGUGUGCGAGCGUACCACUGCUAGUAAUAAAAAUUCUAACAGACUUCUUAAAAAUGGAUAACUUGCGCCCCAAGUUACUGAUUUCUAGACAAGCGAUUGUGAAUUUGGGUGAGGAAUAUCUCCCAAGUAAGUUCUUUUCUUGCCUCAGACUGGUGAUGACUUCACAAUUUUUCACAGUAUAAAACUGGUAAUUCUGGCCAGAAUAAAUGAUAAGAUAGUAAAGUGUUUUUAGGCAGAAGUGCCUUUUACAAAACUCAAAAGGGAAAAAUCAACUCUAGAAAGACAAAAGAAGGCUGGACUUCCAUUUCUGCCUGGAUAGAAACUUUUGAUCCGGGCUGGACUGGGUAAGCACGUACUGGAUUGAGCUGUCAACAACUUCAACUGCUGAGCUUCAGCUAUAAAUCGAUACCAACGUUCGAGUUUGACAGAGCUUUGAUCAAUUUUAAGCCUUGAAAGGCUUUUUCUUAUGUUUUUGCAGCUGAAAGUCCUCCUCCUCCUUCUUCUAGGUCGAAAAGACUUAGGAAAAGGACUGCAGUGGAAUAUGAGGAGACAGAAGAGCCUGCAGCUGUUCUUACCGAAACUUCUGGAAUUGAUGAAGAUCUGAGGGAAGCUUUUGAAGCUGUGGAGUAGGAGAAGGAAUAAGAAAAAGAAAAAGACGUUCCCACAAAAGAGAAAGAAAAGGAGUUUGAAGAAGAGGCUGUAUGAUUAUUUUACAUAUGUUCUUCUUCUAACUUCUGACUCCUGUCCAUCUGUAGGAGGAGAUUCCCGCUAAGGUAAUAGCAGAAAGCAUUGCCUUGGCCAAACAACAAGAAAAAGCUCAUAGGGCAGAACCCACAAGCUCAUAAUUGGCCCUAUUUGAUGAUGUGGAGGCAGAUCAUUCUGAUGUUGCCCCAGAGCUUGAAGGGGAAGCAAAACAACCUGUUGCUAUUCUUGAACCUGAGGUAACUUUUGUUUUGCUUUUGACUGCCUGGUUUUUGCAAUUCUGUUCUAUUUUGCUUCUAAUACCUUUUUCAUUUUCAGGUGGAAAAAGAUAGAACUGCUGGGGUUCUGAUCGUGGCGAUCAGUCCUCUUAAGCCUCCUAUUGUAGCUGUGAGUAUUUGCUUGUUCUUGAGCUUCCCUUUGAUUUUAGUUUUGCAUGAAACUGACUUGAGUUCCUUUUGCAGAUGCCUAUCCAUUUUAUUCCUAAUUCACCAGCCACUGCCUCAUUUGCUGAUCCAGAACUGGUAGAAUUUGAAGCCAUGGAUCUGGAUGCUCAGCUGGACAAGCUAGAAAAACUCAGCUCUCCUCCUAGCAAGGCUAAGUCCAAGGCAAUGGAUGAGGCAGUGGACAGAGUAAAAAUAUGGCAGUCAAACGAGCUGGACUUGGAUGAGAAUAGAGAAGCUGUUGACCAGCUCAUGAAGGAUCUGGAUCUGUUGCACAGGGAGAACAUGGCUCCCAGACUUGUCCUCGAGCUCAGCUUAGGCCCGGAAAAGAGAUGUGCUCAAUCUCCACACUCGUAUGAAGAUCUUAAGCCUUUCUUUAAUGCCUCUGAAUUAUGGAAGGCUACGCAUGAAGCCAACCUGGCUGAUUAUCAAAAUCAAAAAACAGAACUGGAUCAGAUGGUGGCAGGUUACAAGGAGGCCAAGACUGCUGCUGAUAGGCUGGAGAAACAUAUUGAAGAACUUCAAGCGCAGCUGGCUGGACUGAAAGAGAAGCAAAACAAGCUUGGGGCUGGACUGGGCACUUAGACUAUGGUCACUUUUCUUGUGCAGAACAUGGUUGCAGCUUCUAGGCCAGCAUUGUAGAUUGCAGAGGCCUCACUAUAUUUGGUGAAAGCAUAACUCUAAACAAAAGAACGCAGGGAACAAAACAGACUUAAAGAUAACACUUAAAAGCAUAACUUUGAACAAAAAUUCAAACAACAAUUUUAUCUUGGUCAUCCUCUAUUCCAGGAUCUGUUUGCACAGCCUGUGAAUCCCACAUAGUUGGGUAGAAUUUCUUCAGCCAUUUGCUAUUGAUUGGUACAGCAUAAAUAUCUCCAUCUCGAUCCUGUAAUCUGUAUAAUCCCAAUCCAAUGACUCGCUUGAUUAUGAAAGGAUCUUCCCAUGUAGGUGACCACUUUCCAUAACCAGCUAUGUGUGUUCCGAGGGGCAGAACUCCUUUCCAGACUAUUUCUCCGUAUUCAAAACUCUUGUUUUUAACUCUUUUAUUGUAGGCCCUUGAUACAGCCUGUUUCCCUGCUAAGAGUUUGUUGAGGUAUCAAUUCUGCUGGCAUCCAAACCUUCUAGUUCUAGCAGCAUUGCUUGAGAGUAGUCUUCUCAAAUCAGAUUUUGUUGCUAAACAAUUCUAAGAGAUUGGACUGCUAUUUCCAUAGGCAGAAUUGCAUCAUGAUCAUAAGUUAGAGCAUAUGGGGCCAUACCAGUCACCUCUCUCUUUGAAGUUCUAUAUGCCCAGGGAGUUUCUGAUAAUUUCUCAUGCCACUACUUUGGAUUUUUCUCAAGAAUUUUCGUGAUAAUGUUGAUGAUCACUUUGUUACUUGAUUCUGUCCAUUAGCCUGAGCAUAAUAAGAGGUAGAUUGAAGUAGUUUGAACUUGAAUGCUUCUGCAAUAUCUAGCAUUUCUCCAUAUAUGAAAGAAGAUCCCCUAUUAGUUGUGAUUGACUCUCGAAUACCAAACCUUUGUAUAAUAUGCUAUUCUAUGAAGGUGAUGAUCUCUUGAGAUGUAGUCGAUUUAACAGGUUUGGCUUCCACCCACUUGGUGAAAUAGUCUGUAGCCACAAUGAUAACACAAUGUUGUUUGCUACUGGCUAGACAGAUUUUGCCAAUGAGAUCCAUUGCCCAUCCUCUGAAUGCCCAUGACUUAACCACUGGAUUCAUGGGAGCUGAAGGAGCAUGCUAGAUUGGACCAUGCCUCUGACAAGCCUCACAUCCCUUGGAAUACUCAAUGCAGUCUUUCAUCAUGGAUGGCCAGAAGUAGCCAUACCUUCUAAUUAACCAGCACAUCUUCCUUCCACCUUGAUGAGCUCCACAGAUUCCUUCAUGGGUUUCUCCCAAAUCUCCAUUUAAGAUUAGGUAGUUUAAGGCUAUGAUUAUGAUCCUUUUUUCAUAGGGAAGGGUUGGAUACUGCAGAUAAUUGAUUAUAGGCAGCCUCCAAUCUUCUUUAUUCAUUAUGGCAGUAUUGACAUCUAUUUCCAUUCCUCUGGUUAGGACAGAUGGUAGGCUUUUCUUUCCUAUCUUGAUGAUUCUUUGCACACAGUCUUCAGGCAUUUGUACCCCUGUUGCUAUUUGAGCCAUUUCAUUAGCUGCAAAGUUUUCUUCCCUUGGGAUAUAUUCCCAAGUAGCUUCCCUGAAUUCUACCAGAAGGUUUCUGGCUGCCACCAAAUAAACAGCUAGAGAAGGAUUUAGACACUUGUAUUCUCCAGCAAUCUGUUUUGACACCAGCAUAGAAUCUCCCAAAAUUUCCACAGAUUGGAUUCCUAAUUCUACCAACAUUUCAAGGCUAAUGAUUAAAGCUUCAUAUUCAACCUUGUUGUUAGUGCAUUGAAAAUCUAGCUGGAAAGAAUAACAGUGUCUGAUUCCCAGUGGAUCCUCCAAAACAAUCCCUGCCCCAGAGGCUACAUCAGUUUUUGAUCCAUCAAAGUACAGUUUCCAAGGUGUAAGGUGAACUGAAUAGAUGAGAUUGUUAAGGCAAGUAUGAGCUCUAGUCAAUAGAUCUGCAUUUGCUAUAUCCAAGGAAUCCAUGUUUUUAAUCUCUUCUCCUGGAUGAUCUGCUAGGAAAUCUGCUACAGCUUGUCCUUUGACAGCUUUCUGAGAAACAUAUCUGAAAGCAAAUUCUUUCAAAGCCAGAGUUCAUUUGCCAAUUCUGCCUCUCAACAUUGGCCUUGUCAACAUGUAUUUGAUUAGGCCUGUCUUGGCAAUGAUGUAGAUGGUGAAUGGCAGCAUGUAGUGUCUGAGUUUCACAGCAGUGAAGUAUAAGGCUAGACAAAGCCUUUCAAUUGCAGAAUACUUACUUUCUACUUCUGUCAAAGUUCUGCUUAGAUAAUAAACUGCCUGCUCCUUCCCUUCCUUGUUAUCCUGAACUAGCAGACUCUCAAUGGAUACUGGUGGAUUUGAGAGGUAGUGUUUGAUUUCCUCAAAAGCAUGCUGGUGCUGUUCCUCCCACUUAAAUGUCUGUUCCUGCUUUAACCUGAAUAAGGAGGAGAAAUGCUGGAUUUUUCUUACAAAAUUGGAUAUGAAUCUUUUUAGAAAGUUGAUCUUUCCUAGGAGACUCUGCAAUUCUUUCUUGUUUCGAGGUGACAAGGCGUCUAUGAUGGAUUUUGCCUUAUUUUUAUCAAUCUCUAUGCCUCUUUGGUGGACCAAGAAACCUAAGAAAUUUCAUGCUUGAACUCCAAAAACACAUUUCUUGGGAUUCAUUUUCAGCUUGUGUUGUCUCAUUAUCAGGAAUGCUCUUUUUAGAUUUGAUGCAUGAUCUCCUUUUUCUGGGGACUUAAUCACCACAUCAUCUACAUACACUUCUAGAGAAUGACCUAUCAUGUCAUGGAAAACAGAAUUCAUUGCUCUUUGAUAAGUGGCUCCUACAUUUCUAAAGCCAAAAGGUAUUACAGUGUAUUCAAAAGCACCUAUAUGUCCUAGACACAUGAAAGCUGUCUUAUGGAUGUCUUCCUCUGCCACCAUAAUCUGAUUAUAUCCUGCAUUGCCAUCCAUAAAAGAUAGCAUUUGGUUAUGAGCAGCUCCAUCCACUAGCAUAUCUGCCAUUGGCAUAGGAUAUUCAUAUUUGGGAGAUGCUUCAUUUAGAUUUCUAUAAUCCACACAGAUCUUAACUGCCCCUGCUUUUCUUUUCAAAAUUGGCACAAUAUUGGCUAGCCAAUCAGCAUAAAUGGCUAAUAUGAUGAAUCCUGCCUUGACCAGUCUUUCUAUUUCUUCUUUGACUUUCAGUUCUGUUUCCAUAGACAUUCUUCUUCUAGCCUGUUUGACUGGAAGGUAGCCUUCUUUGAUUGGGACCUUGUGUUCUACCAAUUUUCUGUCCAACCCAAGCAUAUCAUGAUAAUGCCAAGCAAAACAGUCUCUAAAAUCAUGCAAAAGUGCAAUGAUUUCACUCUUGAGUGGUUCUUUCAACAAUGCACUAAUGAAAGUGGGUCUUGGGUUCUCUUCUGUCCUUAAGUUUAUCUCCUGUAAUGGAUCUUCCACUUCUGGUAAAGAGUCAUCUAGUGUUGCUGGUGCAAAAUCUAGUACUUCCUCCUAUAAACUCUCUUCCUGUUCUUCAGUGCUGUCAUGGGUGAAUUCUGCCAUAUUGAUGGUUGGAUUCUGCAUAAAGAGCUUCCUUUCUUCCCAAUAUAUCAACAAUCUUUUUGUAAUUGAUACGAUUGUUACAGCUCGAUCAUUUUCUUGUUGAUUGGGACUAAACAUCAGAGUUCUAGAGGUUCAAAAUAAAAGGUAUAUUCCAGUCCUCUAGAGAACUGGCUAGAUCAUUUUCAAUGAGUCUUUGGGUCGUGACACCAUGGGGGCGGCUGUUCUAGUUGACUCCAAAGAACGUGAAAGGACCAAGAUCAUCAUGAUAAUACCUGGCCUCAAAACACAUGGCAGAAGGAAGAAAUAGCCAUGGAUCGGCCUCUACUAUUUCCAUGAACCCUCUUCAUGCCAAAAGGCUAAUUAUUGAUGCAGAGUGGAAGGAACACAUAGACUCUGGUGGAUCCAGUCUCUGCUAAGCAGCGCAUUGUAAGUGGUAGAGGUGGCAUCUAUGUCUACCACAAAAAAUGCGAUUUUUAGCUUCUUGGUUCCUACUAUGACGUCCACAUCUAGUACUUCAUGAGUCUUAGUGAUGCCCCCAGCAAAGUUGGUGACUGUCAAGUGUGUUGGGAUUAGAUCCUUCUCUGUUCUGCCCAUCUUGAUCAGCAACCUGUGAGGCAGAAGAUUAAUUGCUACACCUCCAUCUACCAUCACUUUGGGAAUAAGAACACCCCCAAAGUUUACUGCUAUGAAUAGAGAUCUGAGAUGAUUGGCCAUUUCUUUGGUGGGUUUGGAAAAGCAAAGCUGUUAUGCAGCUAUUUUUAUGGCAAUUUUGCCUGCUUUGGCAGUAAGUGUUUGCUAUUCUGGCAUCUCCUCCACUUCUGCCAAUCUGCACUCAAAACUUUCCUUGGAGAGCACGUCUCCUUCCAGAGUGGUUCCUUGUCCUUCUGCUGCUCUGAACUUUUCUGGCAGGAUAAAGACCAUGUUAAUGCCUAGAUCACCUUGUAACAGGCUUUCUAACUCUACACCAAAAGCCUCAGUCUCCUAAUCCAAUUCUCCAUCGUAUUCCAUUUGUUCUUCCCCAUAUUCCUCUGUCCAGUCUUCUUGUUCUCCUAUUUCGAGAAGCCCAAUCUGAUCGUCUGUAGAUGGUUCAUAGUUCAACUACUCCUCUUCAUUUUCUUCAGUCUAAUCUUCUUGUCCUUCUAUUGGAAUAGGUCGGGAUUGUCCUUGUAACUGGGAAGGUUCAAGCUUAUUGACUGAGGAUGAGGCAGGAUGGAUGGAAAGUCUGCCUGGAGAUUUUGUCUUUGUCAACUUUUGUGGUUGACAUGUUGUUUGUUCUGCCUAAAGAGCUAUUUCUGGAUGUUUCCCCCUUCUAGCAGAAUUGGUCUUUGAACUCUCCUCUUAUGUUUUCUGGUUAGUUCAAGAGUUGGUCUAUCGCUCUUUCCAACAGAAUACCACAUGCCUUCUAUGAUAGUUGCCAAGGGCUUGUCAUCUCCGGGCAUCUUAAUUGGUAUUUCCUUCUUUGGCUGCUCUGUCAUUCUUCGGUUGCGUUGGGCAAGCCUUAAAUAGUCCUUCUGUUUGACUCUGUCUCUAGGUGGAGCCGGAACUGGGUCCUGUUGGUAUGAUGUUCCAUCCUAUCAAAAACACUAGGUGUAGGCUGAUUUUGCCUAUCUAAAGUUACCUCCAACUCACUUUGACACUUACACUUGCUGCACAGAACUACCCUAGCCUAAAUGGUUGCCUUUGGCUUCUGAUUAGCCUCUCUCGUGACUCUCCUGCCUCUACUGGGGCUAGCUUCUGUUGUUAGUUUGCCUCUCUUCUGUUCUGGCCAAUUUAAGUUGCCCGUGUUGACCUAAGGUUGGGGAAAAGGAUCUAUUGUUACUGAGGAAGCUUUCCCCGCCAGUUUUAGCCUUCCUGCUGUUAUUCCUUCCUGUAUUACAUCCCUGAAAACAACACAACUGUUGGUGGAAUGGUUCCAAGAGUUGUGCCAUCUGCAAUAUUGUCUGCCCUUGAGUUCCUCUUGCUUGGGCAACCUGUGAGGUGUUUCUAUUGCCUUCUGCAGCAACACCUCAUCAAACAAAGCAUCAACCUUGGUUAGAGCGAAGGAAUAGACCUUAUUCUAUAUUGGUUUGUUUGGAACAAACUCUCAUGUGAAUGGUGAUGGCUUAUGGUCUUUUGGUGGUUUUGUCAGAACCUUGCAGCUAAUGGGAUGUUUUCAUUUCGCCAUUUCUGCCACGACAAUUUCUCUUUCUUCUGAGCAUUCUGUGCCUUCUUCUGAUUCACCUCAACCAGAUAUACUGAAGAAGAUGGGGUUUUGUAAUAUGUGCAUUUGGAAGAGUUCCUCUUUUGUUGUUCUUCCCUGAGCAGCUCCUCGUACUUGAAUGCUUUGUCUGCCAAGUCUGCCAAAUCUCCAAACAGUAUCCCAUCAAAUCUCUUCCUUAUAGAGAUUUUAAGGGCGGUUUGAGCCAUUUGGAUGAAGUGUCUUUCUUCCAUAGGGAUUCAGCUUUUCAUUUUGAGCUUUCUGAACCUGGUUACGAAGUCUUGAGCAGGCUCAUCUUCACUCUAUUUGAGGGCAGCAAGAUCACUGAUGGUGACUUAUGGCUGAAUCCUGAAAUAGUAGUCAUGGAAGACUUAUGGCUGAAUUCUAUGGCUAUGCAUUGGACAGAAAAUCUGCCUAUAUGCUCAACUGAUGAAGCGUGGAAGGUGAAGUUUGGCACCUUGAAACCUGGGGAUAGAGGUAUUUGAUCAAAAUAGACCGGAUAUGGCUUUCUUUAGGUGGGCCUUUCUCCUCUUCUGGCUUCAUGUUCCAUCAUCUCCCUAAUCAUUCUCUAAAGUGCCUCCAUGUCAUUCAAAGUAUUGACAGGAUACAGAUUUUGCCCAUGUUCUGGCUGGUUGUGCUCAAUCCUGUGCUCCAUUUUGUAUGGCUUGAGCAGACCUUCCUCCUUGUGUUCGUCCUCUUCUUCAAAAUCUAGAUGAUUCCUCCAGUUUGCCCCUAGUCUGUUCCUGUCAUUGUUUGCAAAGGGGUUAAUUCCCGCUCUGCCUCUCUUACCUCUUGCUAGUGGAGGGAAUGGAUUGGGGUGCAUCCUUCUAAGUCUAUAGGGCAACACAACUGGUUGCUCAAGCAGAAGUGCCAAGGGCUGAUCACGUGGGGCCACAGGUUGUAGAAUAGGUGGAGGUUUUGGCUGAUUCUUGGGGGCCUGAACUGGUGCAGAGCCUUCUGGAAUAUCUGGAGCCUCAUGUUCUUGGAUGGGAAGGGCUCCUCUCCGCUGUCCAUCUUGGAUUUCUCCACAUCUUGGUAUUCCAGCUAUUUGUGCAGUGAGGAAGGUUCUCUUAGUAUGCCUAUGCCAGUCUUGGUGGAGAUGCAUAAGGGAGAUCGAGCUACUGGACCACCAUAUCUGGGUUUGGAAUUCUAGCAAUAGAAGCCUCACGGUCCUUCCUGAACUACCUGAUGACUUGCCAUUGUAUCAUGCUUGUCAUGUUGUUUAGAUUAUCCUGGCUUAUUUGCGUUGUGGCCUCCUAUCGGAACACAACCCCCUGUAUCUGGUUCAACCUUCUGUAGCCAGACUUGGAACGUCUACUCCUGGUACUGCCAUAGGGUGAUUGCCUAGCAUCACUUUCUUCUAACUCCAGUCCUUCCAGGAGAGCUGCUUGAUCUCUUUCCAUGGCACAACGUGCAUUAUGGCUAGAACUUUCAAUAUUCAUAUACUAGAGGAUUUUUUUGAGAACAUGUAUACUGAGAGGUCCCACUAGGCGUGCCAAAUUGUUCACCUGUUUUAUAUUUGUUCCGGUGAUGGUAGGAUAAAGUUCCCCAUUGUCUCGAAAAUCAUUGACUCGUCAACAAGUCAACUUUCUUUUGUGUGCGAGCGUGCCACUACUAGCAAUAAAAACCCUAGUAGACUUCUUAAAAAUAGAUAACUUGCGUCCCAAGUUAUUAAUUUCUAAAUAGGCGAUUGUGAAUUUGGGUGAGGAAUAUCUCCCAAGUAAGUUCUUUUCUUGCCUUAGAUUGAUGAGGACUUCACAAUUUUUCACAGUACAAAGCUGGUAGUUGUGGCCAAAAUAAAUGAUAAGAAAGUGAACUGUUUUCAGACAGAACUGCCUAUUACAAAGCUCAAAAGGGAAGACCCAUUUUAAAAAGACAAAAAGAGCUUUGGACUUUAAUUUCUGCCUGGAUAGCUACUUUUGAUCCAGGUUGGAUUGGAUGUGUUUGUGCUGGAUUGGACUAUCAACACCUUCAACUAUCAAGUUUCAGCUGUAAAUCGACACCAACGUUCGAGUUUGGCAUAGCUUUAAUGUAUUUCAAGCCCUAGAAGGCUUUUUGAAUAGGCAGAAUUGGAACCUCUUCAGUCUUGAAGGGGCAGAAGUGGCUGGAUUUGAUGAUUAUUGAGCUAGAACUGCACUGUAGUACCUGUUCUGCUUGAUCACUCCAUAAAUUUGUUGAGGUUUUCAUAUUUGUAAAAACCAAGACUCUGCUUAAUUUGGCUUAUGCUAAACCAAAUUUGUAACGAGAGAAAUCUUGCUUUGAAUGACUAUUUCUCUGAAACUGAACUGAAGUUAGAGAUUCUGGAUUAUAGCUGACUUGUUUCUUGUGGCUCAAUGAGCUUUUGGUUGCUUCAGUGCUUUGAAAGUUUUUGAGAUCAAGUGAUCGUUUUGAGUUUUUGUUUUGGUUGAAUUUUUUGGCUGUCCUUUGAUCUGUUCACCUUCUCUCAUAUUUAUAGGAAAUGCUGGAGUGGAAUUUUCAAUCUUUAAAAUGGGCGGCAGAUUUUCUAAAAAACCAGAUCUUUUUAUUUUUAAAUGUCAGAAAAGGGAAGUUAUCUAUUCUGGCAAAUAAACCAUCAGCAGUUAGUUCUAAGACAUUCACUUCCCUGCUUUUCUUGAAAGAAACCCAACUCUGUUUGUUCUCUGUUUGUUCCUUGUAAAGAGAAAAACUCAAUCUGCCAUGAUGGUCAGUUUGCUUUUUCUGUUUUGAACAACUCCCUUGCUCCCUACUUAUCUCUUGAAAUCGUAGUAUGCUUCUCUUGGAAAGUCCACCUACUUUGGUGCAGAGUUCCUUUAUAUAUAUAAAAAGGGAUUUUGAUCUUCUUCCUUUGGCUGCAAAAUUGGAGAAGUCCUCCUAUAAGACCCGCCUUCAUUAAUUCUCUGUCAGCUCCUCUGUGAUGGUUGAGAUUUUUGACUUUUUCAAAGUCAGGUAGCCAAGUGGGUUUUCUUGAGAAUAGGCUUUCCAGAAAAAAUAUGCUGUCUUGUUCUUGGGUUUUUUUGAGUGAAACGGUGAAAUUUUUGGAAGCUGGGCCCUAAUCCAAUUCUUUCUUCUAGAUUUUUAACGAUUUGCUUGGUGGUCAAUUUUGCCAUUUAUUUGGCAAUUUUACUGACUUGCUUUGUGUUUUUACUUUUCUAUCACUUCGUAAAAAAAACAUGGACAUUUGGCGCGGAUUGGGCUUUUCCUUUGGAGUCAAAGCCCGGUCUUAUGUUUUCUUGUUCCUGGGCUAGUUGUGAGAAAUGGGCUGGCGUGUGAAUUCUUUCAGGCCCAAACAUCCUGCUGUGUAAUUUUGCCUCAGCCACCAUCUGAGGGUUGGCUUGUGUUCAUGGCCAUUCCUGAAGACUGCAAUUUUGGACUUCUUAUGACAAUUGUUUGCAGCGUGGACGGUCUUAUUUUUUUAUUUCUCUAUGUAACAAGAUUUUGGGAAUUUUGAGUAUAUGAUUCGGUGUAUGGUUUGCAAUAUUCAAAACCACUUGUUUAAUCGAACCGGACCGGUGGUCUUAUAAAAAUUAUAUCUAUAUAUAUAUAUAAUAUAGUACAAAGAAUUUAAAAGAUAAAAACUUUCUUUUGUCAGGCUUGGGCAUGCCAACACGCAACUUAUGCUCGACAAAAUUUGAAAAACACACAUGCCAACCACUCAAGCUCUUUUGUCUGUUUUGUCUCCAUCAGUCCCAAUAAUUAUCAAAUAAACGUGAAGACAAUAUGACUAGUCAUAAACCCUUUAACAUAUAAGCAUAACACAGAUGCACAACAUAUCAAAUAUUUAAAUCCCUGCAAGCCUAGAAGAUAACUACGUGACAACCUAGGCACUCAGAAAGACCUCUCAAUCUAGGCAUCUCCUGUGCUAACAACAACUAGGAUGAUAACUGUGUGAACAUUCAUCAACAUUUCAGAUAUAACACAAAUAGUAUGACUAGGCAUAUAAAUAAGAGAAUUAGUUUGUUUGAAGGUUCUCAGAGAUCAAGUGAUCAUUUUGAGUUUGUCUUUAGUUGAUUUUUUGGUUGUUUGAUUUGAAUGUCCUUUGCUGUGUUCACCCUCUCUUAGAAAUAGUUUUUUUUUAUAUUUUUUAUUUUUUAUUUUUUAUUUAUUUUAAAUUUAGAGACAGAGAGAGAAAUACUUUCUAAGGAACCAAUGAAGAAGAGUUCGCCCAUAAAGAUGAGCAAGAGUUUCCACGAGAGAGAAAUUUGUUUUGAGCAAUUAACGCCAAUUGAUGGAGAUAGGAUAGAAAACAUUAAUGGAGAAGGGUGCAAUUAGAUUAUCUUUCCAAAACCGGAGGUUAGGGCACAGGAGCAAAACCAGACUCUGAAAGGUAGUCCCAAUGGAAUCUUUGGAUUGCUUUUCUAUACAGUAGUACAGAAAAAAGGAAAAAAAAAAGAAGGUCCCAACUUUUCUGUCUGUCCCCGUACCUUAGCUUUAAAGCUCGCUUGGCUUUAAAAAAUAGAAAGCAAAAAAGAAAUAAAAAGGCUUUUGAAUUAUUAUUUUCACGUGUAGAAGUUACGUGCUCCCUCUAUAUAAACCCCAUGCAAUAUAGCUGGGUAGGUGUAGAGCAGGAUAGCUGGGUGGUAGUAUAGGGCUAAAUCUUCUUUCUAUUACUUGCACAUGACUCAAUUAAAAGUAAGUCAGGCUACUGGGAAGAGGACGUAUUGAGAAUUCAUGCUAUGCAACGAGAGCCCUAAUUUAAGCACGAUCGAAAUUGGAGGACGAAAAUGUGAUUGAGAUAUUAUUUAAGGACAAUCGACUGAGCAGAAGUUGAGGUUUCACACGUGGACAAACGCGCUCUGAUACUAUACAGGAAGUUGAGGUUCACCCAAAACCAAUUCACAAAAGAGAGAGUAGCUCAACUCUUCAUAAGCCCUUACUAAGUUCAUUAACUUUCCAAUGUAUAACAUUUUCAUCUUCACAUUGUCAUACUUUGGCCUUUAGAGAUUGACACCUUAUCCGAAUUUUGAUAAGGUAUCUAAAAAGUAAUCCCUCUUUCCUUUUUUAUUUCAACAAUAAUAGUAAGCGAAUAAAUACUAUAGCCACUCUUACAGACCUAAAACAUUAAAUAUUUGAAGCACAUGUAACAACAGAGCGCAGCCACCUCUAACUUCUUAAGCAGUGCGUUCAACAUCUUAGUCUUUGAGGAAAAAAUUUAAAGAUUGAUGCAAAUUUAACCCCCGCUCUAGGUCUUGGUGUUCGAAAACCAUAUAAAGAAUCGGAACACACUCUCUUUCUCCCCCCUCUUUAGGUUUCAAGUCAAGCCAAGAUGCAAUAAAAGUUCUGUGAAUGUGAUCAUAAAGCGGAAUCCACCUUCUCUCUUUAUUGGGCAGUAGGCGGGUGUGCGUGUCUGGCCGUCGGGUUUAAAGCUACUUUCUUUUCCACUUCUAUUACUUUCAGAUUAGACUCUCUUUUUUGGCCGCUUGCACAUUAUUCAAUAGUGAAAGUAGUUCAAGUCACUUAACAGGUGAGAGGACGUGUUGAGAGUAAAUAUUAUGCCACGUCCGUUUUUGAGUGCAUUUUUCUGACCACCCUUAAGCCUCACCACCCCUUUCAAAGUUUGGCAUAUGUAAAUGAGUUAAUUUCAGUUUGGUAUCCCGUAGUUGUACUUUUAAGGUAUUUCGUAGUUGUAUCCUAUGGGAAACCAAACUGAAAUUAACCCUAUGUAAAUUAAAGUAACCAUAGUUAAAGGUUUGCAGGUAAUAUGUUUUUCAUGCCACAAUUAUAUGAGAGAAAUUGAUGUAUUCAUUAAAAAUGAUUUCUUCUAUCAAGUUUUUCUUUCCUUGCAACUUUUGUUUUUUGCAAAUUUGAGUUAGGUUAGUUGGCCAAAGUAGUGUGCCCACAUUAUGGCACUCGAGAUCGAUUUCCUCCCCCUAGAUUAGAGUGCCCAUCUUGUUGCACCUGAGUUCGAACUAUGCUGGUGGGAAUUUUGAACUGGAGUGGAAUGACAUAAUCACAUGGUAUAACAAAACAACGUAGAAUAAUGCCAAGACCAUUCUCAUAAUCCUGAGAGUCAAAUAUAAGGACGACGUCGUAUUUUAGUAUAUAUGAAAUCUUUAUAGAAGGUGCACUAUAACUAAUGGCUGUUGGGCAAAGAACAAAAAAACAUGGGUGUCGAAUUCAGAAAAAAACUUAAUACCUUGAUGUAUAUAUCCUUUUAGUCCACAAUCUUAAAUCUUUCUUUAGACCAUUGCGUACUUGUGUUAAUUUACAAGUUCAUUUACAAAGAUGAUUACCAAUUUCCUCACACUUAGAAGAAGAAUAAUAAUAUAUAACAAUACUUGAUUAUUCCCUAAAGAAUGUAACAUCUAACCAGCAACUUCCCUUCUUCUUCUUCUUCUUCUUCUUCUUCCUUUAUCAUUAUUUUCAACAAUCUCUUCUUGACUAGGAUCCAACUCGGCAAGUUACCUAAUCAAGCUCCAAAUCGAAUUUCUUGUAUUUUUUGAUUCCUAAAAUACCGCCAACAAAGCCAUUAUUGCAUUUUGUAUAUUAAUGUAGACCAAUAUAGAAACAAUUUUUAAUUGGAUUGUAACUAAUAAUGAGACACAUUGAAUUUGGAAAGAUCUCCAAAUAGAUGUUGGAAUUCAUUCGGAAUUUUUUUUAAUUUAACAAUAAAUUCAUAUUUAACAUACCUAAUUGGUUUAUUUAAUAUAAAAAAGUUUUUAUUUAUUUAUUUAUGAAGUAUACGUGAGUACACCCUAUGAUCUAAGUACACCCUAAUAUUUUAAUUAAAAUAUAAAAUUAACUAAGUACACCCUAUAAAACUACCAGAAAUACCCAUGAUACACCAUAAUACUUGUAAUAUUAUUUUAUAGUUGAUUUUCAGCUUAAUUUUUUUAAUAGUGUUUAUAAAUCUUUGACUUUUCAUAUGGAUUUAUGCUUCUACUAAAACUGUUGACACUUUUUUAGCAAUUCCAAAUUCUUGCAAUCUCCACAUCUUUCGUUAAAAACACAAUAGGACAAGCAAUCUCUUGAUUAGGAUUGAAUAUGGUUAGUAGGGUGUACUUAUUAAAAUUAUAUUUGUUUCACAAUUCCAUAUAUCCUUUUUGGUCAUUUUAUAUUAGGGUAAAUCAGUAAUUCAAUAUAUACUUUUAUAGUCGGGUGUACUCAGUUAAUUUUAAGGUUCGUUUAGCAGCACUCAUUAUCUAUUAUAUUAUUAUUUUAUAAAUAUAAUAGCGUACAUACAAUUUUAUGUUAGAAAAAUAACAUACCUAUUACUUCAUUUUGCGAAAAAUAAUGUUUGGGGCUAAAUUCCAAUAACAACUUUUAAUUGGAUGGUAUCUAGGAAAUAGAAAUUGUAGGGGCCUAUAUUAAACCAGUCAUUUUAUAAUGGUUCUUGAUCAUAAUACGUUAUGAUAUACUCAAUUAGAACAUGAGUAUUUCAACUCAAAAUUAAUUGGCAACAAAUGAGAUUCACACUCUCAACAAUCUUAGGUCUAUUUUGCAUGGAAGAUCAAUUAACAAUGAGAGAGAAAUAGUUUCUUUUUUUACUUUUUUUUUUUUUUUUUGGAGAGAGAGAGAGAAAUAGUUUCUAUGGAACCAAUGAAGAAGAGUUUCCAUGAGAGAGAAAUUUGUUAUGAGCAAUUAACGCUAAUUGAUGGAGAUAGGACAGAAAACAUUAAUGGAGAAGGGUGCAAUUAGAUUAUCCACCCGUUGGCAAAUACCAAUGCUGCCAGGACAGAUCCACCCGUUGUUUGCGCAACUCUCAACAGGACUCAUUUCGAUACUCUUUUUCCAGGGUUCACAUUUGGCGCAGCUACAGCAGCUUACCAAGUCAGUGCAUUCUGGGAGCUUAAUUAAUAUUACUCAUGAAUUUGUUUUAAUUUUUUGUUUCAUAUAGUUACUUUACUUAGCAUGUGUCAUUUAUGAAUAUUGGCAUCUUCAUUCUGUAAAUCGUGUUUUAUAUGUAUAUCUGUAUGUGCAUUUCAGUUAGAAGGUGCUGCAAACAUAGACGGUAGAGGACCAAGCGUAUGGGAUAACUUCACCCACGAGCAUCCAGGUCUGUUGAAUCAAACAAUCAAUUAGUUAACAAAUCUUCUAUUUUCUAUUUUUUUUAGGUGACUAAAUUGAUGAUCAGUUACUUCAUUUCAAAAGCUAUAAUAAACAAGCCAAUGCUUCAUGGAAAUUAGUUAUUCUUCACUUACAAAGUGCUCAAUGGGAACUGCGCAGAAACUAUGACCUUACCCAGCAAAGAUCUGACAACUCCUCUAGAUCAAAGAAGAUAGUUAGAAAGUUGUAAAAAAUUGAAUAAGGGUAAUCAUGGAAAAUAAAACUCAAAUGUUUUAAUGUAUUAAUGUAUCAUUCAAAAAUGUAAUUAAGAGGAAUAAUACACAAGAGAAGAAGUGAGAAGUUCCAACCAAGAUGGUUAGGGUGAAGGUUGCGAGCAUUCCCCUAUUUAAAUAUCUAGAUAGCUAAAUUACUUUGUAUCUUUAUUUAUAACUAAAAUUACAUUUGAUUAAUUGCAGAAAAGAUAACUGAUGGUAGCAAUGGAGAUGUUGCUAUUGAUCAAUAUCACCGUUAUAAGGUUUGAAAAUCACAUAAUUGUAUUAUGUAGACCUUCUAUAUUUGAAUUUGAACACACGACAUUAAGGAUGAUAUCCUUAAUUUUUAGCUUCUUUUUUUUAUUUUUAUAAUUAUGUACAUAUUUUGUGUCAUUAUAGGAAGAUGUGGCAAUUAUGAAGGAUAUGGGGUUGGAUGCUUAUAGGUUCUCUAUCUCAUGGUCCAGAUUGUUACCAAGUAAGUUGAUCAUCCGCAUCCACAUAUAUUAUUGCGACCAAUCGCUUUAAUGUUUAACAUCUUUUAUUCAAUUUAAUUCCUAUUUCAUGAUAGGUAUUGGCUUAUAUUUUUCUUGUUUUGUUUUAAUUAUUAUUAGAUGGAAAACUAAGUGGUGGAAUUAACAAGAAGGGAAUCGAAUACUACAAUAAUCUCACCAAUGAACUCCUACGCAAUGGUGAUACAGCUCCUAAUCUCAUAAAAUCCUCCUAAUAUAACAACAGUACCUGCAGUUGUUUAAUCAAACUUCUAAUUUUCUUUUACUGGUCAUGCUAUAUAUAGGUAUAGAGCCAUUAGUGACACUCUUUCAUUGGGAUGUUCCCAAAGCAUUAGUAGACGAAUAUGGUGGUUUGUUAAGCCCUCGUAUUGUGUAAGUGGACAAAUUCCAUCCUUUGUAUAAUAUUGAUCACUUAAUUAUACAAAUAUUAUUAUAUACAAUAAAUACAUUUUUAAAUGUGUACACGCAGCGAUGACUUUAAAGCAUACGCAAACCUUUGUUAUAAGGAAUUUGGUGAUCAAGUAAAGCAUUGGACCACACUUAAUGAACCACAUACCAUUAGUAACCAUGGUUACACAAUCGGGAUCCAUGCUCCAGGACGAUGCUCUGAUUGGUAUAACCCAAAAUGCCUUGGUGGAGAUUCGGGUACUGAACCAUAUUUAGUGACACACAAUCUACUCAUUGCUCGUGCAGCUGCUGUAAAAUUGUACAGGGAAAAAUAUCAAGUACUUUCAUUAGUCUUUUUUUUUUUUUUUUUUUUUAUCUUUCAGAACAUUGAGGUCCAACGAGUAACUAGUAUUAUGUAACAAUAUAAGUGGGAAUACUUUUUAUAUUGAGAUAAACAAUAGUUGCAAUAAUAUAUACAUUCUUUUGGCUCUAAAUGAAAAGAAAAAAAAAACAAUUACUUAUCAUUCUGGAGCAGGCAUGUCAAAAUGGUGUCAUAGGAAUAACUGUUGUAUCACAUUUGUUUGAGCCCGCUUCGGAGUCACAACAAGAUAAAGACGCUGCAUUUCAAGCUUUGGAUUUUAUGUAUGGAUGGUAAGUGUAUUAUUAAUUUAUAUAUCAACUCAUUUAAAUGCUUUAUUUUUGAAUUAUAAAUUCAGUUAGGUAGCCCGUGGUACUUUAUAUUAUGUUAUAAGUUCACGUUUGGCAUUUUCAUAUAUAGGUUUAUGGACCCAUUGACAAGAGGUGACUACCCGCAGAUCAUGCGAUCUAUUCUUGGUGCACGGUUACCAAAUUUCACGGAAAAACAAUCUAAUUCAUUGAAUGGGUCAUAUGACUAUAUUGGAAUAAACUACUACUCUGCUAGAUAUGCAAGCGCUUAUCCUAAGGAUUAUUCUGUACCUACACCUCCAAGCUACCUAACAGAUGUUCAUGUUAAUGUUACAAGUGAGUGCAAACUGAAAAUUUCAAGCAAUUAAUGUAGUUCUCCUAAUAAUUAGAUCCUAAUAUUCAUAUUCAUUUAUGUUGUAGCAGCUGAUCUUAAUGAGGUCCCCAUUGGUCCACGGGUACGCAAUAAAUUAUUAGCUUAAGUUAUUGGAAUUUUGAGAAUUAAUAGCUAUAUAUGCAUAUAUUUUGUUUUCCAUAUACACAUAAAGUGCUAAAAGUCCCACUGAUCUUCAAAUGGGAUUGCGGGCUGCUUCAGACUGGUUAUAUGUUUACCCAAAAGGACUUUACGAUCUUGUACUCUACACAAAGGAAAAGUAUAAUGAUCCAAUUAUGUACAUUACUGAGAAUGGUAAUUAAUAUUUUUAAGCAUUAAUUAAUUGCAUCAUCAAUGUUUCACAUAUAUGUAUAAUGGUGUGAGAAUGGUAGUUAAUAUUUUUAAGCAUUAAUUAAUCGCAUCAUCAAUGUUUCACAUUAUGUAUAAUGGUGUAAAAUAAAGUGAAGUGUUGUAAACUCUAAACUUAAAACUAAAUGUACAUUUUUUCUUUGGUUAAACAAAUUGUAUGCAUUUGAUACUGCAUUAUAUUGUAGGCAUGGAUGAGUUCAAUAAUCCCAAAUUAUCACUCGAGCAAGCCCUUAAUGAUGCUAAUAGAAUUGACUACUACUAUCACCACCUUUGUUACCUCCAAGAAGCAAUGAAGUAAGUUUUUGUCAACAAAUUAAUUAAGGCUAUAUAUGUUUUGGCCUUCUUACAUUUCGGUUAUUUAAUCACUAUAUUGAACCAAUUAUGUUCUUCUUCUUUUUUGGGUGUUUUUAGGGAGGGUGCUAAUGUGCAGGGAUACUUUGCAUGGUCUUUGCUAGACAACUUUGAAUGGAGCGAAGGAUAUACUGUUCGAUUUGGUAUCAACUAUAUUGACUAUGACAAUGGACUGGAAAGACACUCAAAACUCUCGAUGCACUGGUUCAAAAGUUUUCUCAAGAGAUCCUCAAUUAGUAAGAAGAAAAUCCGAAGAUGUGGGAACAAUAAUGGUAGGGCUACCAAAUUUGUGUAUCAAAUUUGAAUCCCAAGGAUGGAUAAAGUACAAUGGCUCUUCCAUAGUGGUUGUACGAGCUGUUUUUCGUGUUUUAACUUUUUGUUUGACUUUUUCUGAGUCGGAAUAAGUUGCAACAACUCAUUACGAGUUAGUUGUCUUUCCUUGUGAGGGUUUAGUUUUAAUUUUACUCUAUAUUGUUUAUGUAAUGACCCAAACCUAAAAUGCAUAUAUAAUUAGUAAUUUAUUAUGCGGAAAGACAAUUUUGCUCUUUGACUAAAUUAUGAACCCAAAGUUGACUUUUUGACCGAAAAGGAAUUUGACAAGUCCACAUACGUCGUUGCGUAGAGCACGCUGACACGAGUUCAUAGACACGAAGUAAGCUUGAAUCGGAGUUUUAACGAAGAAAAUACGAUUAAAAUAUCACGAGGGGCAAAAUGGUAAAUUGGAAAAUCAGAUUUUAUAAAACCUGUUUCUCUCUCUCUCUUCCCCAUCAGUUUCUCUCUCCUCUCUCUCUCUCCCGCGCGCGAAGUCCGUCGCCCCUUCCCCUUCCGAUCAGCCCAGCCACCACCACAGGCCAUCCCGACCUACAACGCCGGUACAAACGGGACCGCCUCGCCCUCGCCGUCACGACCCGACCGUUCUCCGCCCACUAGCCGACCGGAGUUGGCCCGAAAAAGGAGAAAACCAACGGUUUUCGGGCUAAACUUCGAACCCUUCGUUCUCCUUCAAUUCUCCUCCAAAUCUUUCGAGUAAGGUAUGGAUUCUCACCUAUUUUUCGUGCUCUAGCUGAUGGUUGGAUAGGUUUUCAUCAAUUUUAGCCGUAGAUUGCCCAGUUUGUGAAUUAAAAUUCGGCCGGUUUUCGGCCUUCGUGUUCGGCCACUUCCGGUCAGUUUUUGUGGUUGGUCCAAGAACAAAAGUGGUUCCAAAUAUGGUGUUAUACCUAGGAUAGGAGUUUGGAGCCUUGGUUUUGAGAUUUUCCGGCGUUGUGUAAUCGCUUUGGACACCCAUCGCUGCCGGCGCGUGGGUGAGUGUGGUGCCGUGACACUGUGUUCUGAUGCGAUCCUUAGGUCGUCACGAGCGCAUAGGAAUUCGCGGAUCUCAAUUUGGAUACCGUUUGAGCCUCGAAUGGAUUUUUCAUAUUGUGCGAUUAUCGGGUUCAAUACUGUUGAGCCGUUGGAUCGUAAUCAAUGGUAGAUAUGUUAUUCUAGAUAAUUUUAGAAACGUGUAGGAUUCGACGGAUUGUGAAUCGGAGUCCCGGAUACUCCGAAAUCGCGAACCCUAGGGCUAGGGUUUAGAAAUUAUGCGAUUACACGAUCGUGAUUAAUCCGACCGUCCGAUUGACACCAAUACCCUCAGGACAUGUGUCCUAAAUAUAUUGGACAUUCUAGCGGCAUCCGGAUCAUAUUGUACCCGUGGGGUUCCGGAUUGACUUUUUGGACUUUAGCGCUUUUUGAGUCCCAAGAUACCGCUAAACUACCCCACGUGGAAGGAAAGCUGUUAUGGGCAUAGGGAUCACUUUAAAUUGACUCACGUACUUUUAGGAGCCGGGGAUAGGGUUUUUAAUUUAAUACUAUCUUGUAUUAAUAGAAUAUUAUAGUCAUUGAAUCAGGCACCCGGGCACCAGUUGACCCGCAGGAGGGACCUUCAAGAGGUCCAGCGAGCUCAGACUACCAGUGAGUGGACUCUUUGUUUUAAUAAAUGAAUUUAAGCAGUUCAAUUUCAGUUAUCAGCUGUUUUAUUCUGUUAAAUAUUUUAUGUUGCAUGCUGCCGAGUGACAUUUCCUUUAAAGAAUAUAGGAACAGAUAUUCUUGUUCAUUAUCAGAUAAAUGGCAGCAGAAUUUUAAAGGUUACAGAAACUUUAUAUUUUCUUAACUCACCUUGUACCCAGUUAUUAAAUGUUGCCUUCGGUUUAUAUUUCGUGCCUUCGGUUUAGUCAGCAUGCUUGACAGUUGCCCCACGAGUUCGAACUCGUGUGGAGCGAGUAAUGCGGAUAAAGGUGGACUACGGUUCCCUGAAUCCUGCGAGUUGCGGCUCGGACUGACUUCGUGUCACUGAGACCUGCGAGUAUGUGUCACCCAUGGUGAUGCAAGGAAUUGACGGAAAUAAGGAUUUGACGGAAGUAAGGGUACACCUAGGUGAUAGUUUAAACUGUUUUCAAAUAUAUAUAAUUAUCUACAUGCAUUGAUUUCAGACAUAAAGAAAAUAAGCUAGUUUAUAUAACCGUUUUUACAGUGGGGUUAGUAUGUUCAUAUGGUAUUUUCUAAACUCUGUUUUUUGGGUCCACUCACCCUUUUUGUUGUUUUGCGCCCCCAGGCAGCAGACGUGCACAGGAAUCCACCACCGGGCUACUUCCCAUCUUCCGCGCCUUUCUUCUGAUGUAGGAUUUUGUUUUGUAAAAAGAUUCACUCUUUUGUAAAUUCUUAGUAAUCGCUCUGAUGUUUUGCCCUAGACUGAGCUUUGAACUCUUGGCAUGUGUAUAUAUAUGUAUGCUGGCAGUUGGUUGUAUAUAUAUACUUGUUUUGACAGGUGAAAAUGUUUUGGUAUUGAGCCAGAUACAAGGGAAACUCUGCCGGUUUUUCGGUAGAAGUCAACCUUGUUAUUUUUCUCGUGUUUUGUAUAGAAGGGCAAAUAGGUCAUUUGUGUCCGACAUUCGCCAGGUGUCGGACACGCACAGGGUCUGGUUCGGAUUCCAAAGCAGAAUUUCGAUCGGGUCCUGUCAGUUUAUGUGCCUCGUUUAUCCAAGUUUGUUGACUUUAUGCGGUCGAGGUGCUUUGGCCGGUUGUGGAUAUGGUUGGAGGGAUAUCUUAUUGUCUAGAUGUUGUUGAUGUAUCCUUCAUGUGUUUGUAUUAGUCCUUGUAAUCAGUGCCCUUUACGACUAAAUUAUAUAUGUAAUUUUUUCUAAAUAAAAACGUUAUAAAUAAAAAUAAAAACUAAAAUAAAUAAAUGUUGAGCCUUGACUGAAAUAUUUGCUACUUAUGGCAUCUAGUUUGUCUUUUGAACUUAGAACAAAAUACUAGUGUAUAAAUUCUUUAUAAAUCUGUUAAAAAUUCAAAAGAAAAUGCUCGAUCAGGUGCUUAUUUAAGAAAACGUCAAGUCGGCUAUCAGCACAAUACUUUUCUUCAAAAGAAAACUAAUGUUGCUUGUAUGAUUAAUUUCAUGUGUACAAAUUAUACAUAGACUUUAGCUUAUAUAUAUAUAUAUUAAUUUCAAUACAAUACUCCUUACGCCACAUAAACUUUAUCUUUCUUUAUAAACGAGAUGAUAAUUUAUUUUUCCAAAAGAAAUCCAGCCAUUGUGAUCUGCCACAAUGAGAGACUUUUUUUAAUCCUGCACAAUACCAUCCAUUUAUCAAACAAAACAAAAAAAUAAAUAAAAAUCCACCAGGCCUUUCCCAAAGCAAAAAGCUCAUAAGAGACAAAGCCCACUCUCUAUCCUUCUUCACCACACUGAGCAUAACCAUCAAACUAGACAGCCAGUUCCCAAUUGUGGUAAAUCUUUGGACACCACUUUAUGGUUUAGAGGUGAACCAAACCAAGCUGCUUGGGCCUAGGGACAAAGGAACAAUAUAUGCUCAGUAGACUCUUUAAAUACGUUAGAAGAGAAAGUAAAUGAUACUAUUCCUGUGUUCACCUGUUUUAUAUUUGUUCCUGUGAUGGUAGGGUAAAGUUUUCCAUUGUCUCGAAAACCGUUGAUUGGUCAACAAGUCAACUUUCUUUUGUGUGCGAGCGUGCCACUGCUAUAGCAUACUUCUUAAAAAUAGAUAACUUGAGCCACAAGUUACUAAUUUCUAAACUGGCGAUUGUGAAUUUGGGUGAGGAAUAUCUCCCAUGUAAGUUCUUUGCUUGCCUCAGACUGGUGAGGACUUCACAAUUUUUCACAGUACAAAACUAGUAGUUCUGGCCAGAAUAAAUGAUAAGAAAGUGAACUGUUUUCAGGCAGAACUGCCUAUUACAAAGCUCAAAAGGGAAGACCAACUUUAAAAUGACAAAAAGAGCUUUGGACUUUAAUUUCUGCCUGGAUAGCUACUUUUGAUCCAGGCUGGAUUGGAUGUGUUUGUGCUAGAUUGGACUAUCAACACCUUCAACUGUCAAGUUUCAGCUGUAAAUCAAUACCAAAGUUUGAGUUUGGCAGAGCUUUAAUCUAUUUCAAGCCCUGGAAGGCGCUUUGAAUGGGCAAAAUUGGAACCUCUUCAGUCUGGAAGGGGCAGAAGUGGCUGGAUUGGAUGAUUACUUCAGGGCUCUCCAUAAAUUUGUUGAGGUUUUCAUAUUAGUAAAAAUCCGAACUCUCCUUGAUUUGGUUUAUGCUGAACCAAAUUUGUAACGAGAGAAAUCUCGCUUUGAAUGACUAUUUCUCUGAAACUGAACUGAAGUUAGAGAUUCUGGAUUAUAGCUGACUUGUUUCUUGUGGCUCAAUGAGCUUUUGGUUGCUUCAGUGUUUUGAAGGUUUUUGAGAUCAAGUGAUCAUUUUGAGUUUUUGUUUUGAUUGAAUUUUUUUUGCUGUCUUUUAAAAUGGGCGGCAGAUUUUCUAAAAAACAAGAUCUUUUUAUUUUUAAAUGUCAAAAAGGGAAGUUAUCUAUUCUGGCAAAUAAACCGUCAACAAUCAGUUCUGAAGCAAUCACUUCCCUGCUUUUCUUGAAAGAAAACCAACUCUCAUUAUUCUCUGUUUGUUCCUUGUAAAGAGAAAACUCAAUUUGCCGUGAUGGUCAGUUUGCUUUUCCUGUUUUGAACAACUUCCUUUCUCCCUACUUAUCCCUUGAAAUCGUAGUCUGCUUAUCUCUUGGAAAGGCCACUUGCUUUGGUGCAGAGUCCCUUUAUAUAUAUGAAAAUGGAUUUUGAUCUUCUUCCUUUGGCUGCAAAAAUGGAGAAGUCCUCUUGUAAGACCUGCAUUCAUUAAUUCUCUGUCAGCUCCUCUGUCAUGGUUGAGAUUUUUAACUUUUUCGAAGUCAGGUAGCCACGUGGGUUUUCUUGAGAAUAGGCUUUCCAGAAAAAAAAAAAAAAAAAAACUGUUGACUUGUUGCUGGGUUUUUUUAGAGAAAUGGUGAAAUUUUUAAAAGAUGGGUCCUAAUCCAAUUCUUUCUUCUAGAUUUUUAAAGAUUUGCUUGGUGGUCAAUUUUGCCAUUUAUUUCGCAAUUUUGCUGACUUACUUUCUGUUUUUACUUUUCUAUCACUUCGUAAAAAAGCCCGAUCUUCUGUUUUCCUGUUCCUGGACUUUUUGUGAGAAAUGGGCUGGCGUGUGAAUUCUUUUAGGCACAAACAUCCUACUGUGUAAUUUUGCCUCAGCCACCAUCUAAGGGUUGGCCUGUGUUCGUGGCUAUUCCUGAUGACUGCAAUUUUGGACUUCUGAUGACAAUUGUUUACAGCAUGGACGGUCUUUUUUUUUAUUUAUUUCUCUAUGUAACAAGAUUUUGGAGAGUCCUCCGAAUCUGUCAAGAAUCUGUGCACUACUACCUUGGAGAGUCCUCUGAAUCCGUCUGCUCCUGGCUCAUUUUGGAUGAUCCAGAUCUGGUUGCAAGUGUACUUCCCAGAACUGAGGUUUCCGGACAUCGUUCUGCCUGAAGACUAGGUCAUGGCUCUUUCGUUGAUGUCAGCAGAAGUGCCCAAGCGCUCUAUUGAAGAAUACUUGAUAUUCUUUAGGCACUGCACCAAGAGAUCUGUUGCACAGUGGCAAAUGGUGCUCAGGGGGACCUAUCCUUGGUUUCAGCCUGGGUAUAGACUGUUUGAGAAAAAGCCAGAAGAAGAAGAAGCCAGGAUUGAUUUCAGGAAGAAGUUCCUGAGUGUAAUGCUGCCCAGGGACAUGCCCUUUGGUGGAGGCAAACCUCCCAACUAUCAUCUGGAGGCAGAAAUGUAUCACCCCAAUUUCUGCGCUGGGCAACUUGGUUGUCCUCAACUAAUUCCUCUUAAGUAAUACAGAAGCUGCAACCGGGCUACCUCUUGGGGGGACUCAGACAACCUAGACGUGCAUAAGGACUGCAGAUGCUCAGUUAAUAAAAUCAACAACGGUGUGGAUGCUUUCUAUCCAUCAUGGGAGCCUAAUUCUUGCAGUUAUGCCAAUUUUGAUGCUUGGAGGAAGGCUAGGUUUUCUGGCCUGACGGACGCAAACACUGCUGUGAAGGUGUUGUUUGAUACCUAGGAUGUUGGCACUGUCUUGGAAGAAUCAGAUGCCAAGAAGUUUAUUGUGCAACUUGUGAAGGGUAUAAAUGCCCAAGUAAUUAAAGGAAAAGUCUCCAGUUUGGCCCUCCCUUUUUACUUCUGUUCUGCUUGUGAUUUAUCUCAUUCUUUCCGGGUAAUCCUAAACUGUUCUGCCUAUUUUCUGCAGAUCCUUCCAUGACAACCAACCUUGGAGGACAAGCUGUUCAAUCUGGGGAGGUGAUUGGUAAGUUUCUGAAUUCUGUCCUUCUCCCUUCCUUCUGCUGGAUUGCGUUCUAAUUCUUCAUUCUUCUGUGUAGUUACUUCUGUUAUAGUUGCUGGGGAUCUAGAGCUCCCCUUUGGAGAUGAAGAAGAUUAGCAUGAGUCCCUGGCAGAGCAACCAGCUGUUAAGGCCACUCCUUCUGCUGGAAGGAAAAGAAAAGAAGCUGCUCCUGCUUAGGACAGUGUUGUCCAGCUCGAAGUUUCUGGUAAGACUUUGAUAUCUUGAACUUUUUGAUUUUAUUCCGUUUUGUUCUGCCUAUUUUCCUAACCUUUUUUCUUCUGUUUUUACAACUGAAAGUCCUCCUUCUCCUCCUCCUACUAGGUCGAAAAGACUUAGGAAAAGGAUUGCAGUGGAAUCUGAAGAGACAGAAGAGCCUGCAGCUGUUCUUACCAAAACUUCUGGAAUUGAUGAAGAUCUGAGGGAAGCUUUUGAAGCUGUGGAGCAAGAGAAGGAAUAAGAAAAAGAAAAAGACGUUCCCACAAAAGAGAAAGAAAAGGAGUUUGAAGAAGAGGCCGCAUGAUUAUUUUACAUAUGUUCUUCUUCUAACUUCUGACUCAUGUCCAUCUGUAGGAGGAGAUUCCCGCUGAGGUAAUAGCAGAAAGCAUUGCCUUGGCCAAACAACAAGAAAAAGCUCAUAGGGCAGAACCCACAAGCUCAAAAUUGGCCCUAUUUGAUGAUGUGGAGGUAGAUCAUUCUGAUGCUGCCCCAGAGCUUGAAGGGAGGCAAAACAACCUGUUGCUAUUCCUGAACCUGAGGUAACUUUUGUUUUGCUUUUGACUGCCUGGUUUUUUGCAGUUCUGUUCUAUUUUGCUUCUAAUACCUUUGUCUUUUUCAGGUGGAAAAAGAUAGAACUGCUGGGGUUUUGACCGUGGCGAUCAGUCCUCUUAAGCCUCCUAUUAUAGCUGUGAGUAUUUGCUUGUUCUUGAGCUUCCUUUUGAUUUUAGUUUUACAUGAAACUAACUUGAGAUCCUUUUGCAGAUGCCUAUCCAUUCUAUUCCUAAUUCACCAGCCACUGCCUCAUUUGUUGAUCCAGAACUAGUAGAAUUUGAAGCCAUGGAUCUGGAUGCUUAGCUGGACAAGCUAGAAAAACUCAGCUCUACUCCUGGCAAGGCUAAAUCCAAGGCAAUGGAUGAGGCAGUGGACAAAGUAAAAAUAUGGCAGUCAAACGAGCUGGACUUGGAUGAGAAUAGAAAAGCCGUUGACCAGCUGAUGAAGGAUCUGGAUCUGUUGCACAGGGAGAACAUGGCUCCCAGACCUAUCCUCGAGCUCAACUUAGGCCCGGCAAAGAUGUGCUCAAUCUCUACACUCGUUAUGAAGAUGCAAGGCUACGCAUGAAGCCAACCUGGCUGAUUAUCAAAACCAAAAAGCAGAACUGGAUCAGAUGGUGGUAGGUUACAAGGAGGCCAAGACUGCUGCUGAUAAGCUGGAGAAACAUAUUGAAGAAAUUCAAGCGCAGCUGGCUGGACUGAGGGAGAAGCAAAACAAGUUUGGGGCUGGACUGGGCACUAAGACCAAGGCCACUUUUCUUGUGCAGAACAUGGUUGCAGCUUCUAGGCCAGCAUUGUAGAUUGUAGAGGCCUCACUAUAUUUGGUGAAAGCAUAACUCUGAACAAAAGAAUUCAGGGAACAAAACAGACUUAAAGAUAACACUUAUAAGCAUAACUCUGAACAAAAAUUCGAACAACAAUUCUAUCUUGUUCAUCCUCUAUUCCAGGAUCGGUUUGCACAGCCUGUGAAUCCCACAUAGUUAGGUAGAAUUUCUUCAGCCAUUUGCCAUUGAUUGGUGCAGCAUAAAUAUCUCCAUCUCGAUCCUGUAAUCUGUAUUAUCCCAGUCUAAGGACUCGCUGGAUUAUGAAAGGACCUUCCGAUGUAGGUGACCACUUUCCAUAACCAGCUAUGUGUGUUCUGAGGGGCAGAACUACUUUCCAGAUUAUUUCUCCUUCUUCAAAACUUUUGUUUUUAACUCUUUUAUUGUAGGCCCUUGAUACAGCCUUUUUUCCUGCUAAGAGUUUGUUGAGGGUAUCAAUUCUACUGGCAUCCAAACCUUCUAGUUCUAGCAGCAUUGCUUGAGAGUAGUCUUCUCCAAUCAAAUUGUGUUGCUGAGCAAUUCUAAGAGAUUGCACUGCUAUUUUCAUAGGCAGAAUUGCAUCAUGACCAUAAGUUAGAGCAUAUGGGGUCAUGCUAGUCACCUCUCUCUUUGAAGUUCUAUAUGCCCAGAGAGUUUCUGAUAAUUUCUCAUGACACUGCUUUGAAUUUUUCUCAAGCAUUUUCCUGAUAAUGUUGAUGAUCACUUUGUUACUUGAUUCUGCAUAUCCAUUAGCUUGAGCAUAAUAAGGGGUAGAGUGAAGUAGUUUGAACUUGAAUGCUUCUGCAAUAUCUAGCAUUUCUCCAGAUAUGAAAGAAGAUCCCCUGUCAGUUGUGAUUGACUCUGGAAUACCAAACCUCUGUAUAAUCUGCUAUUCUAUGAAGGUGAUGAUCUCUUGAGAUGUAGUCGAUUUAAUAGGUUUGGCUUCCACCUACUUGGUGAAAUAGUCUGUAGCCACAAUGAUAACAUAAUGUUGUUUGCUACUGGCUGGAUAGAUUUUACCAAUGAGAUCCUUUGCCCAUCCUCUGAAUGGCCAUGGCUUAACCACUAGACUCAUGGGAACUGAAGGAGCCUGCUGGAUUGGACCAUGCCUUUGACAAGCCUCAUAUCCCUUGGAAUACUCAAUGCAGUCUUUCAUCAUGGAUGGCCAAAAGUAGUCAUACCUUCUAAUUAACCAGCACAUCUUCCUCCACCUUGAUGAGCUCCACAGAUUCCUUCAUGGGUUUCUCCCAAAUCUCCAUUCCACAUGAUGUAGUUUAAGGCUAUGAUUCUGAUCCUUUUUUCAUAGGAAAGGUUUGGAUAAUGCAAAUAAUUGAUUAUAGGGAGCCUCCAAUCUUCUUCAGUCAUUAUGGCAGUAUUGACAUCUAUUUCCAUUCCUUUGAUUAGGACAGAUGGUAGGCUUUUCUUUCCUAUCUUGAUGAUUCUUUGUACACAGUUUUCAGGCAUUUGUAUCCCUGUUGCUAUUUGAGCCAUUUCAUUAGCUGCAAAGUUUUCUUCCCUUGGGAUAUAUUCCCAAGUUGCUUCCCUAAAUUCUGCCAGAGGGUUUCUAGUUGCCACCAAAUAAACACAUAGAGAAGGAUUUAGACACUUGUAUUCUCCAGCAAUCUCUUUUGACACCAGCAUAGAAUCUCCCAAAAUUUCCACAGACUGGAUUCCUAAUUCUACCAGCAUUUCAAGGCCAAUGAUUAAAGCUUCAUAUUCAGCCUUGUUGUUGGUGCAUUGAAAAUCUAGUUGAAUAGAAUGGUGGUAGCUUUUGGUCUUUUGGUGGUUUUGUCAGAGCCUUGCAGCUGAUGGGAUGUUUUAAUUUCGCCAUUUUUGCCACGACAAUUUCUCUUUCUUCCAAGCAUUCUGUGCCUUCUUCUGAUUCUACCUCAACCACAUGUACUGAAGAAGAUGGGGUUUUGUAAUAUGUGCCUUUGGAAGAGUUCCUCUUGUGUUGUUCUUCCUUGAGCAGCUCCUCGUACUUGGAUGCUUUGUCUGCCAAUUCUGCCAAAUCUCCAAACAGCAUCCCAUCAAAUCUCUUCCUUAGAGAGAUUUUAAGGGCGGUUUGAGCCAUUUAGAUGAAGUGCCUUUCUUUCAUAGGAAUUCGGCUUUUCAUUUUGAGCUUUCUGAACCUGGUUAUGACGUCUUGAGCAGACUCAUCUUUACUCUGUUGGAAGGCAGCAAGAUCACUGAUGGUGACUUAUGGCUGAAUCCUGAAAUAGUAGUCAUGGAAGACUUAUGGCUGAAUUCUAUGGCUAUGCACUGGACAGAAAAUCUACCUAUAUGCUCAAUUGAUGAAGCGUGGACGUCUUCUCCGUUGAACAAUGUGAAGUUUGGCACCUUGAAACCUGGGGAUAGAGAUAUUUGAUCAAAAUAGGCCGAAUAUAGCUUUCUUUAGGUGGGCCUUUCUCCUCUUCUGGCUUCAUGUUCCAUCACCUCCUUGAUCAUUUUCUAAAGUGCCCUCAUAUCAUUCAAAGCAUUGACAGGAUGCGGAUUUCGCCCAUGUUCUGGCUGGUUGUGCUCAAUCAUGUGCUCCAUUCUGUAUGGCUUGAGUAGAACUUCCUUUCUGUGUUCUUCCUCUUCUUCAAAAUCUUGAUGAUUCCUCCAGUUUUCCCCUAGUCGGUUCCUGUCAUUGUUGGCUAAGGGUUUAAUUCCCGCUCUGCCUUUCCUACCUCAUGCUAGUGGAGGGAAUGGAUUGGGGUGCAUCCUUCUGGGUCUGUAGGGCAACACAGCUGGUUGCUAAGGCAGAAGUGCCAAUGGCUGAUCACGUGGAGCCACAGGUUGUGGAAUAGGUUGAGGUUUUGGCUGAUUCUUGGGGGCCUGAACUGGUGCAGGGCCUUCUGGACGAUCUGGAGCCUCAUGUUCUUGGAUGGGAAGGGCUCAUCUCCUCUGUCCAACUUGGAUUUCUCCACAUCCUGGUAUUCCAGCUAUCUGUGCAAUGAGAGGGUUCUUUUAGUAUGGCCAUGUCAGUCCUGGUGGAGAUGCAUAAGGGAGAUCUAGCUGCUGGACCACCAUAUCUGGGUUUGGAAUUCUAGCAAUAGUAGCCUCACGGUACUUCUUGAACUGCCUGAUAACUUGCCAUUGCAUCAUGGCUGUCAUGUUGUUUAGAGUAUCCUGGCUUAUUUGCGCUGUGGCCUCCUAUCGGAACACAACCUCUUGUAUCUGGUUCAACCUUCUGGAGCCAGACUUGGAACGCCUACUCCUGGUACUACCAUAGGGUGAUUGCCUAGCAUCACUUUCUUCUGACUCCAGUCCUUCCAGGAGAGCUGUUUGAUCUCUUUCCAUGGCACAUCGUGCAUUCUGGCUAGAACUUUCAAUAUUCAUAUACUAGAGGAUUUUUUCGAGAACAUGUAUACUGAGAGAUCCCACUGGGCGUGCCAAAUUGUUCACCCGUUUUAUAUUUGUUCCUGUGAUGGUAGGGUAAAGUUCCUCAUUGUCUCGAAAAUCAUUGACUCGUCAACAAGUCAACUUUCUUUUGUGUGCGAGCGUGCCACUACUAGCAAUAACAACCCUAGCAGACUUCUUUAAAAUAGAUAACUUGUGCCCCAAGUUAUUGAUUGCUAAACAGGUGAUUGUGAAUUUGGGUGAGGAAUAUCUCCCAAGUAAGUUCUUUUCUUGUCUCAAACUGGUGAGGACUUCACAAUUUUUCACAGUACAAAACUGGUAGUUCUGGCCAGAAUAAAUGAUAAGAAAGUGAACUGUUUUCAGACAGAACUGCCUAUUACAAAGCUCAAAAGGGAAGACCAACUUUAAAAAGAGAAAAAGAGCUUUGGACUUUAAUUUCUGCCUGGAUAGCUACUUUUGAUCCAGGCUGGAUUGGAUGUGUUUGUGCUGGAUUGGACUAUCAACACCUUCAACUGUCAAGUUUCAACUGUAAAUCGAUACCAAUGUUCGAAUUUGGCAGAGCUUUAAUGUAUUACAAUCCCUAGAAGGCUCUUUGAAUAGACAGAAUUAGAACCUCUUCAGUCUUGAAGGGGCAGAAGUGGCUGGAUUUGAUGAUUACUGAGCUAGAACUGCACUGUAGUACCUGUUCUGCUUGAUCACUCCAUAAAUUUGUUGAGGCUUUUAUAUUUGUAAAAACCAGGACUCUGCUUGAUUUGGCUUAUGCUGAACCAAAUUUGUAACGAGAGAAAUCUCGCUUUGAAUGACUAUUUCUCUGAAACUGAACUGAAGUUAGAGAUUCUGGAUUAUAGCUGACUUGUUUCUUGUGGCUCAAUGAGCUUUUGGUUGCUUCAGUGCUUUGAAGGUUUUUGAGAUCAAGUGAUCGUUUUGAGUUUUUGUUUUGAUUGAAUUUUUUUGGCUGUCCUUUGAUCUGUUCACCUCCUCUCAUAUUUAUAGGAAAUGCUGGAGUGGAAUUUUCAAUCUUUAAAAUGGGCGGCAGAUUUUCUAAAAACCAGAUCUUUUUAUUUUUAAAUAUAAAAAAAGGGAAGUUAUCUAUUCUGGCAAAUAAACCAUCAACAGUCAAUUCUAAGGCAAUCACUUCCCUGCUUUCCUUGAAAGAAACCCAACUCUGUUUGUUCUCUGUUUGUUCCUUGUAAAGAGAAAAACUCAAUCCGCCAUGAUGGUCAGUUUACUUUUCCUGUUUUGAACAACUCCCUUGCUCCCUACUAAUCUCUUGAAAUCGUAGUCUGCUUCUCUAGGAAAGUCCACGUGCUUUGGUGCAGAGUUCCUUUAUAUAUAUAAAAAGGGAUUUUGAUCUUCUUCCUUUGGUUGCAAAAUUGGAGAAGUCCCCCUGUAAGACCCGCCUUCAUUAAUUCUCUGUCAGCUCCUCUGUGAUGGUUGAGAUUUUUGACUUUUUCAAAGUCAGGUAGCCAAGUGGGUUUUCUUGAGAAUAGGCUUUCCAGAAAUAAUAUGUUGUCUUGUUCCUGUGUUUUUUUUGAGAGAAACGGUGAAAUUUUUAGAAGCUGGGCCCUAAUCCAAUUCUUUCUUCUAGAUUUUUAACAAUCUGCUUGGUGGUCAAUUUUGACAUUUAUUUGGCAAUUUUACUGACUUGCUUUGUGUUUUUACUUUUCUAUCACUUCGUAAAAAAACAUGGACAUUUGGCGCGGAUUGGGCUUUUCCUUUGGAGUCAAAGCCCGGUCUUCUGUUUUCUUGUUCCUGGGCUAUUUGUGAGAAAUGGGUUGGCGUGUGAAUUAUUUCAUGCCCAAACAUCCUGCUGUGUAAUUUUGCCUCAGCCACCAUCUGAGGGUUGGCCUGUGUUCAUGGCCAUUCCUGAUGACUGCAAUUUUGGACUUCUGAUGACAAUUCUUUGCAACGUGGAUGGUCUUAUUUUUUUAUUUCUCUAUGUAACAAGAUUUUGGGGAUUUUGGGUAUAUGAUUUGGUGUAUGGUUUGCAAUAUUCAAAACCACUUUUUUAAUCAAACCGGAUCGGUGGUCUUAUAAAAAUUUUAUAUACAUAUAUAUAUAUACAGUCAUGAUCUCUUGGAUUACAGGGGUCCAAGAGAUUUGUGGUCACUCAUCGUUGGAUGUAAAUUCGACGGUUCACUCACUCUUGCACUCCUUUUAAGAAACGUUUUUGAACUAUUGGAUUAAUAUCCAACGGUGGGCGACCACAAUCUCUUGGACUCCUGUGGUCCAAGAGAUCGGGACUAUAUAUAUAGGGGGCGGAUCCGUGACACUAUGUUUUUGACACAAGUUUUGACAUAAUUUUUGGACCAUUAGAUUACUCCACUUUCAAUGGUUGAGAUUAAACCUCACAUGGUAAGUAGUUUUAAUUUUUUAAAUAGACAAUCAUUUUUUUUUCUCCCUCUCAUAAAAAUAAAAGAAAUGAUUUUCUCUCUCCUCCCUUUUUUUCUUGGAGACGUAAUCCCAGCUGCCUUUUUAAUAUCAAAUAUUUAUUAAGGUGUAAUAAAUAAAGAAUUUCACCAAAAACUAAAGGCCCAAACCGUGAAGAGUCUCUUCAGUUUCCCCUUCUUCCCGCACAUGCAUAUGCAAUCAUCAAUUCAUCUUCAGCUUAUAUAUAUAUAUAUAUAUAUAUAUAUAUUAUUUUUAUAAUACCACCAAUCCGGUUUGAUUAAACAAGUGGUUUUGAAUAUUGCAAACCAUACACCGAAUCAUAUACCCAAAAUCCCUAAAAUCUUGUUACAUAGAUUAAUAAAAAAAUAAGACCGUCCACGCUGCAAACAAUUGUCAUCAGAAGUCCAAAAUUGCAGUCCUCAGGAAUAGCCAUGAACACAGGCCAACCCUCAGAUGGUGGCUUAGGCAAAAUUACACAGCAGGAAUAAUAUCAUUUACUUUCUCUUCUAACGUAUUUAAAGAGUCUACUGAGCCUAUACUGUUCCUUUGUCCCUAGGCCCAAGCAGUUUGGUUUGGUUCACCUCUAAACCAUAAAGUGGUGUCCAAAGAUUUACCACAAUUGGGAACUGGCUGUCUAGUUUGAUGGUUAUGCUCAGUGUGGUGAAGAAGGAUAGACAGUGGGCUUUGUCUCUUAUGAGCUUUUUGCUUUGGGAAAGGCUGGUGAAUUUUUAUUUAUUUAUUUUUUUUGUUUGAUAAAUGGAUGGUAUUGUGCAGGAUGAAAAAAUUCUCUCAUUGUGGCCGAUCACAAUGCCUCGAUUUCUUUUGGAAAAAUAAAUUAUCAUCUCGUUUAUAAAGAAAGAUAAAGUUUAUGUGGCGUAAGGAGUAUUGUAUUGAAAUUAAUAUAUAUAUAUAUAAGCUAAAGUCUAUGUAUAAUUUGUACACAUGAAAUUAAUCAUACAAGCAACAUUAGUUUUCUUUUGAAGAAAAGUAUUGUGCUGAUAGCCGACUUGAUGUUUUCUCAAAUAAGCACCUGAUCGAGCAUUUUCUUUUGAAUUUUUAAUAGAUCUAUAACGAAUUUAUACACUAGUAUCGUAUUCUAAGUUCAUUUCAACUUAAGACAAACAAGAUGCUAUAAGUAGCAAAUAUUUCAGUCAAGGCUCAACAUCUAUUUAUUUUAGUUUUUAUUUUUAUUUAUAACGUUUUUAUUUAGAAGAAAUUACAUUUAUAAUUUAGCCGUAAAGGGCACUGAUCACAAGGACUAAUACAAACACAUGAAGGAUACAUCAACAACAUCUAGACAAUAAGAUAUCCCUCCAACCAUAUCCACAACUGGCCAAAGCACCUCCACCGCAUAAAGUCAACAAACUUGGAUAACGAGGCACGUCAACAACAUAAAGUAAAAUUAAAACUAAACCCUCACAAGGAAAGACAACUAACUCAUAAUGAGUUGUUGCAACUUAUUCCGACUCAGAAAAAGUCAAACAAAAAGUUAAAACAUGAAAAACAGCUCACACAACCACUAUGGAAGAGCCAUUGUACUUUAUCCAUCCUUGGGAUUCAAAUUUGAUACACAAAUUUGUUAGCCCUACCAUUAUUGUUCCCACAUCUUCGGAUUUUCUUCUUACUAAUUGAGGAUCUCUUGAGAAAACUUUUGAACCAGUGCGUCGAGAGUUUUGAGUGUCUUUCCAGUCCAUUGUCAUAAUCAAUGUAGUUGAUACCAAAUCGAACAGUAUAUCCUUCGCUCCAUUCAAAGUUGUCUAGCAAAGACCAUGCAAAGUAUCCCUGCACAUUAGCACCCUCCCUACAAACACCCAAAAAAGAAGAAGAACAUAAUUGGUUCAAUAUAGUGAUUAAAUAACCGAAAUGUAAGAAGGCCAAAACAUAUAUAGCCUUAAUUAAUUUGUUGACAAAAACUUACUUCAUUGCUGCUUGGAGGUAACAGAGGUGGCGAUAGUAAUAGUCAAUUCUAUUAGCAUCAUUAAGGGCUUGCUCGAGUGAUAAUUUGGGAUUAUUGAACUCAUCCAUGCCUACAAUAUAAUGCAGUAUCAAAUGCAUACAAUUUGUUUAACCGAAGAAAAAAUGUACAUUUAGUUUUAAGUUUAGAGUUUACAACACUUCACUUUAUUUUACACCAUUAUACAUAUAUGUGAAACAUUGAUGAUGCAAUUAAUUAAUAUUUUAAAAUAUUAAUUACGUACCAUUCUCAGUAAUGUACAUAAUUGGAUCAUUAUACUUUUCCUUUGUGUAGAGUACAAGAUCGUAGAGUCCUUUUGGGUAAACAUAUAACCAGUCUGAAGCAGCCUGCAAUUCCAUUUGAAGAUCAAUGAGACUUUUAGCACUUUAUGUGUAUAUGGAAAACAAAAUAUAUGCAUAUAUAGCUAUUAAUUCUCAAAAUCCCAAUAACUUAAGCUAAUAAUUUAUUGCGUACCCGUGGACCAAUGGGGACCCCAUUAAGAUCAGCUGCUACAACAUAAAUGAAUAUGAAUAUGAGGAUCUAAUUAUUAGGAGAACUACAUUAAUUUCUUGAAAUUUUCAAUUUGUACUCACUUGUAACAUUAACAUGAACAUCUGUUAGGUAGCUUGGAGGUGUAGUUACAGAAUAAUCCUUAGGAUAAGCGCUUGCAUAUCUAGCAGAGUAGUAGUUUAUUCCAAUAUAGUCAUAUGACCCACUCAGUGACUUGGAUUGUUCUUCCGUGAAAUUCGGUAACCGUGCACCAAGAAUGGAUCGCAUGAUCUGCGGGUAGUCACCUCUUGUCAAUGGGUCCAUGAACCUAUGAAAAUUCCAAACGUGAACUUAUAACAUUAUAUAAACUACCACAGGCUACCUAACUGAAGUUAUAAUUCAAAAAUUAAGCAUUUAAAUGAGUUGAUAUAUAAAUUAAUAAUACACUUACCACCCAUACAUAAAAUCCAAAGCUUGAAAUGCAGCGUCUUUAUCUUGUUGUGACUCCGAAGCGGGCUCAAACCAAUGUGAUACAACAGUUAUUCCUAUGACACCAUUUUGACAUGCCUGCUCCAGAAUGAUAAGUAAUUGUUUUUUUUUUUUCUUUUUCAUUUAGAGCCAAAAUAAUGUAUAUAUUAUUACAACCAUUGUUUAUCUCAGUAUAAAAAGUAUUCCCACUUAUAUUGUUACAUAAUACUAGUUACUCGUUGGACCUCAAUUUCUAAAAGAAAAAGAAAAAAGACUAACGGAAGUACCUGAUAUUUUUCUCUGUACAAUUUUACAGCAGCUGCAUGAGCAAGGAGUAGAUAGUGUGUCACCAAAUAUGGUUCAAUACCCGAAUCUCCACCAAGGCAAUUUUGGUUGUACCAAUCAGAGCAUCGUCCUGGUGCAUGGAUCCCGAUUGUGUAACCAUGGUUACUAAUGGUAUAUGGCUCAUUAAGUGUGGUCCAAUGCUUUACUCGAUCACCAAAUUCCUUAUAACAAAGGUCUGCGUAUGCUUUAAAGUCAUCGCUGCAUGUACACAUUGAAAUAUGUAUUUAUUGUAUAUAAUAGUAUUUAUAUAAUUAAGUGAUCAAUAUUAUACAAAGGAUGGAAAUUGUCCACUUACACAAUACGAGGGCUUAACAAACCACCAUAUUCGUCUACUAAGGCUUGGGGAACAUCCCAGUGAAAGAGUGUCACUAAUGGCUCUAUACCUAUAUGUAGCAUGACCAGUAAAAGAAAAUUAGAAGUUUGAUUAAACAACUGCAGGUACUGUUGUUAUAUUAGGAGGAUUUUAUGAGAUUGGGAGCUGUAUCACCAUUGCGUAGGAGUUCAUUGGUGAGAUUAUUGUAGUAUUCGAUUCCCUUCUUGUUAAUUCCACCACUUAGUUUUCCAUCUAAUAAUAAUUAAAACAAAACAAGAAAAAUAUAAGCCAAUACCUAUCAUGAAAUAGGAAUUAAAUUGAAUAAAAGAUGUUAAACAUUAAAGCGAUUGGUCGCAAUAAUAUAUGUGGAUGCGGAUGAUCAACUUACUUGGUAACAAUCUGGACCAUGAGAUAGAGAACCUAUAAGCAUCCAACCCCAUAUCCUUCAUAAUUGCCACAUCUUCCUAUAAUGACACAAAAUAUGUACAUAAUUAUAAAAAUAAAAAAAAGAAGCUAAAAAUUAAGGAUAUCAUCCUUAAUGUCGUGUGUUCAAAUUCAAAUAUAGAAGGUCUACAUAAUACAAUUAUGUGAUUUUCAAACCUUAUAACGGUGAUAUUGAUCAAUAGCAACAUCUCCAUUGCUACCAUCAGUUAUCUUUUCUGCAAUUAAUCAAAUGUAAUUUUAGUUAUAAAUAAAGAUACAAAGUAAUUUAGCUAUCUAGAUAUUUAAAUAGGGGAAUGCUCGCAACCUUCACCCUAACCAUCUUGGUUGGAACUUCUCACUUCUUCUCUUGUGUAUUAUUCCUCUUAAUUACAUUUUUGAAUGAUACAUUAAUACAUUAAAACAUUUGAGUUUUAUUUUCCAUGAUUACCCUUAUUCAAUUUUUUACAACUUUCUAACUAUCUUCUUUGAUCUAGGAGAGUUGUCAGAUCUUUGCUGGGUAAGGUCAUGGUUUCUGCGCAGUUCCCAUUGAGCACUUUGUAAGUGAAGAAUAACUAAUUUCCAUGAAGCAUUGGCUUGUUUAUACAUUGUUUAUAGCUUUUGAAAUGAAGUAACUGAUCAUCAAUUUAGUCACCCAAAAAAAUAGAAAAUAGAAGAUUUGUUAACUAAUUGAUUGUUUGAUUCAACAGACCUGGAUGCUCAUGGGUGAAGUUAUCCCAUACGCUUGGUCCUCUACCGUCUAUGUUUGCAGCACCUUCUAACUGAAAUGCACAUACAGAUAUACAUAUAAAACACGAUUUACAGAAUGAAGAUGCCAAUAUUCAUAAAUGACACAUGCUAAGUAAAGUAACUAUAUGAAACAAAAAAUUAAAACAAAUUCAUGAGUAAUAUUAAUUAAGCUCCCAGAAUGCACUGACUUGGUAAGCUGCUGUAGCUGCGCCAAAUGUGAACCCUGGAAAAAGAGUAUCGAAAUGAGUCCUGUUGAGAGUUGCACAAACAACGGGUGGAUCUGUCCUGGCAGCAUUGGUAUUUGCCAAUGCAAAGCCAAGGAGCAGCAGCACCACACACAAGAGCAAAGAGCGGAAUUGCAAUGCCAUAACUGAGUGGAGGGUUUUUGAUGAUCGAGCUAGGUGUGCUCUUCCUGCUAUAUUGCAUGGGGUUUAUAUAGAGGGAGUACGUAACUUCUACACGUGAAAAUAAUAAUUCAAAAGCAUUUUUAUUUCUUUUUUGUAAAGCCAAGCGGGCUUUAAAGCUAAGGUACGGGGACAGACAGAGAAAAGUUGGGACCUUCUUUUUUUUCCUUUUUUCUAUACUGCUGUAUAGAAAAGCAAUCCAAAGAUUCCCUUGGGACUACCUUCAGAGUCUGGUUUUGCUGCCGUGCCCUAACCUCUGGUUUUGGAAAGAUAAUCUAAUUGCACCCUUCUCCAUUAAUGUUUUCUAUCCUAUCUCCAUCAAUUGGCGUUAAUUGCUUAAAACAAAUUCCUCUCUCAUGGCAACUCUUGCUCAUCUUUAUGGGCGAACGCGAACUCUUCCUCAUUGGUUCCUUAGAAACUAUUUCCCUCUCAUUGUUAUUGGAAUUUAGCCCCAAACACACAGUAUACCUAUAAAUUUGCUGGCUUUAAUAUACAAUGAACCCAUAAUAGGUACAUUAUUUUUCGUAAAUGAAGUAAUAGGUAUGUUAUUUUCCAAACAUAAAAUUGUAUGUACACUAUUAUAUUUAUAAAAUAAUAAAAUAAUAGAUAAUUAAUCACGUAUACUUUAUAAAUAAAUAAAUAAAAACUUUUUAAUAUUAAAUAAACCGAUUAGGUAUGUUAAAUAUGAUUUUAUUGUUAAAUUAAAAAAAAAUUCCGAAUGAAUUCCAACAUCCAUUUGGAGAUCUUUCCAAAUUCAAUGUGUCUCAUUUAGUUACAAUCCAAUUAAAAAUUGUUUCUAUAUUGGUCUACAUUAAUAUACAAAAUGCAAUAAUGGCUUAGUUGGCGGUAUUUUAGGAAUCAAAAAAUAAAAUAAAUUCGAUUUUGAGCUUGAUUAGGUAACUUGCCGAGUUGGAUCAUGUUAAUGUAUGCAUUUUGGGUUUUUCUUUUGGCUUCUCAUGACAAUUUUGUAAUAUGAUUUUUAUUGUUUUUAUCAAGCUCAAGUUUGGAUUAAGAAUAGCUUCUCUAGGUGUUCUUAACUAACAACUAUCCUAUGGAGAUUCAAACAAAUUGACAAAGGUAAAUUGUGCAUUGCAUCACAUUGCCUUAAAUUGAUUUCAUAAAAUGAUGACUAGUCAUCUAUUUCUCGUAUGACUAGUCAUCUGUUUCUCGUAGGACUAGUCAUCAUUUCUACUGUUUGGUGUUUACUUGAUUCUGAUGAUUUCACACACUUUCACUAUAGUUGUUGCUAGCACAGAGGAUGCCUAGAUUGACGGGUCCUUCUGAAUGCCUAGGUUGUCACUAGUAAUUUUCUAGGGUUGCAGGUACACUGUGGCAUGCUCUGUGUGUAUUAUUGAUUGUGGCUGUUCAUGACUAGCAGUUGACAAGUUAUAAGUGUUUUUGGUCAAGUUCUAAAGUGUAUGAAGAUUGUUGCGUUUUGUUUAAGUGUCGUAAAAUUUACCCCUCGUCACCUAAGUACAAUUUCAAAUCCUAGUCAAGAAUAGAUUGUUGAAAAUAAUGAUAAAGGAAGAAGAAGAAGAAGAAGGGAAGUUGCUGGUUCGAUGUUAGAUUCUUUAGGGAAUAAUCAAGUAUUGUUAUAUAUUAUUCCUCUUCUUCUAAGUGUGAGGAAAUUGGUAAUCAUCUUUCUAAACGAACUUGUAAAUUAACACAAGUACGCAAUAGUCUAAAGAAAGAUUUAAGAUUGUAGACUAAAAGGAUAUAUACAUCAAGGUAUUAAGUUUUUUUCUGAAUUCGACACCCAUGUUUUUUUGUUCUUUGUCCAACAGCCAUUAGUUAUAGUGCACCUUCUAUAAAGAUUUCAUAUAUAAUAAAAUACGACGUCGUCCUUAUAUUUGACUCUCAGGAUUAUGAGAGUGGUCUUGGCAUUAUUCUACGGUGUUUUGUUAUACCAUGUGAUUAUGUCAUUCCACUCCAAUUCAAAUUCCCAUUAGCAUAGUUCGAAUUCAGGUGCAACAAGAUGGGCACUCUAAUCUAGGGGGUGGAAAAUCGAUCUCGAGUGUCACAAUGUGGGCAUACUACCUUGGCCAACUAACCCAACUCACAUUUGCAAAAAACAAAAGUUGCAAGGAAAGAAAAAAUUGAUAGAAGAAAUAAUUUUUUAAUGAAUACAUCAAUUUCUCUCAUAUAAUUGUGGCAUGAAAAACAUAUUACCUGCAAACUUUUAACCAUGGUUACUUUAAUUUACAUAGGGUUCAUUUCAGUUUGGUAUCCCAUAAAAUACAACUACAGAAUACUAUAAAAGUACAACUAUAGGAUACCAAAUUGAAAUUAACCCUUUUACAUAUGCCAAACUUUAAAAGGGGUGGUGAGGCUUAAGGGUGGUCAGAAAAAUGCACUCAAAAACGGACGUGGCAUAAUAUUUACUCUCAACACGUCCUCUCACCUGUUAACUGACAUGAACUACUUCCACUAUUGAAUAAUGUGCAAGUGGCCAAAAAAGAGAGUCUAAUCUGCAAGUAAUAGAAGUGGAAAAGAAAGUAGCUUUAAACCCCACGGCCAGACACACCCACACCCGCCUACUGCCCCACCUAAUCACCCAACCCCAAGCCCAAUAAAGAGAGAAGGUGGAUUCCGCUUUGUGAUCACAUUGACAGGACAGCACUUUUAUUGCAUCUAGGCUUGACUUGAAACCUAAAGAGGGGGGAGAAAGAGAGUAUGUUCCGAUUCUAAGAUGUUAAAUUUGCAUCAAUCUUUAAAUUUUUUUCGCGAAGACUAAGAUGUUGAACGCACUGCUUAAGAAGUUAGAGGUGGCUGCGCUCUGUUGUUACAUGUGCCUCAAAUAUUUAAUGUUUUAGGUCUGUAAGAGUGGCUAUAGUAUUUAUUCGCUUACUAUUAUUGAUGAAAUCAAAAAAGAAAAAGGGAUUACUUUUCAGAUACCUUAUCAAAAUUCGGAUACGGUGUCAAUCUCUAAGGGCUAAAGUAUGAUAAUGUGAAUAUGAAAAUGUUCUACAUUGGAAAGUUAAUUAACUUAGUAAGGGCUUAUGAAGAGUUGAGCUACUCUCCCUUUUGCGAAUUAGUUUUGGAGUGAACCUCAACUUUAUUUAUAGUAUCAGAGCGCGUUUGUCCACGUGUGAAACCUCAACUUCUGCUUAGUUGUGGUGAUUGUCCAUAAAUAAAACCUCAAUCACAUUUUCGUCCUCCAAUUUCGAUCGUGCUUAAAUUAGGGCCCUCGUUGCAUAGCAUGUAUUCUCAAUACGUCCUCUUCCCAGUAGCUUGACUUACUUUUAAUUGAGUCAUGUGCAAGUAAUAGAAAGAAGAUUUAGCCCCAUACUAUACUACCACCCAGCUAUCCUACUCUACACCUACCCAACUAUCCUCCAAUUUUGUUCUGUCAAUCCGGAGCUGAGUUGCGGUGUCAUGGGGUGAACAAGUUGAUGAACUAGCUGUUAUUUCCAUGAAGGACAAGCUACUAGCUCAACUAAGUUUAGAGAAGAAGGUUGAAAAUGGAGGUAGUGCUCAUUUCCUAAAUAGACCCAGGAUUGCUUGAGCUUGCAAUUACUUUUUCUAUAAGAACCUUCUUAACUUAUGCGUACACAUUUCUGGUGUGAUUCUUUGAUUUAUAUGCCUAGUCAUACUGUUUGUGUUAUAUCUGAAAUAUUGAUGAAUGUUCACGCACUUAUCGCUCUAGUUGUUGCUAGCACAGGGGAUGCCAAGAUUGAUAGGUCUUUCUGAGUGCCUAGGUUGUCACGUAGUUAUCUUCCAAGCUUGCAGGGAUUUAAAUAUUUGAUAUGUUGUGCAUUUGUGUUUAUGUUCAAGGGUCUAUGACUUCAUAUUGUCUCCACGUUUAUUUGAUAAUUAUUGUCAUACAUCUGUCCAUUGGGGUUUUAAUUUACCUCCUUCACCUAUGUACCAAUGCAGAGAGAGAGAGAGAGAGGGACUGAUGGAGACAAGACAGACAAAGAGCUCGAGUGGUUGGCAUGUGUGUUUUUCAAAUUUUGUGGAGCAUAACUUGCGUGUUGGCAUGCCCAAGCCCGACAAAAGCCAAAAGUUUUUAUCUUUUAAAUUCUUUGUACUAUAUUAUAUAUAUAAUUUUUAUAAUACCACGGUCUGGUUUGAUUAAACAAGUGGUUUUGAAUAUUGCAAACCAUACACCAAAUCAUAUACCCCAAAUCCCAAAAUCUUGUUACAUAGAGAAAUAAAAAAAUAAAACCGUCCACGCUGCAAACAAUUGUCAUCAGAAGUCCAAAAUUGCGGUCAUCAGGAAUAGCCAUGAACACAGGCCAACCCUCAGAUGGUGGCUGAGGCAAAAUUACACAGCAGGAAUAAUAUCAUGUAUUUUCUCUUCUAACGUAUUUAAAGUGUCUACUGAGCAUAUACUGUUACUUAGUCCCUAGGCCCAAGCAGUUUGGUUUUGUUCAGCUCUAAACCAUAAAGUGGUGUCCAAAGACAUACCACAAUUGGGAAGUGGCUGUCUAGUUUGACGGUUAUGCGCAGUGCGGUGAAGAAGGAUAGAGAGUGGGCUUUGUCUGUCAUGAGCUUUUUGCUUUGGGAAAGGCUGGUGGAUUUUUAUUUAUUUUUUGUUUUGUUUGAUAAAUGGAUGGUAUUGUGCAGGAUGAAAAAAAGUCUCUCAUGGUGGCCGAUCACAAUGGCUGGAUUUGUUUUGGAAAAAUAAAUUAUUAUCUCGUUUAGAAAGAAAGCUAAAGUUUAUGUAGCAUAUGGAGUAUUGUAUUGAAAUUAAAACAUAUAUAAGCUAAAGUCUAUGUAUAAUUUGUACACAUGAAAUUAAUUAUGCAAGCAACAUUAGUUUUCUUUUGAAGAAAACUAUUGUCUUUUUAACCGACUCGACGUUUUCUCAAAUAAGCACGUGAUUGAGUAUUUUCUUUUGAAUUUUUAAUAGAUCCAUAAAGAAUUUAUAGACUAGUAUAUUGUUCUAAGUUCAUUUCAACUUAAAACAAACUAGAUUUCUUAAGUAGCUAUUUUCGGUCAAGGCUCAACAUCCAUUUAUUUUAGUUUUUAUUUUUAUUUAUAACGUUUUUAUUUAGAAGAAAUUACAUUCAUAAUUUAGCCGUAAAGGGUACUAACUACAAGGACUAAUAUAAACACGUGAAUGAUACAUCAACAACAUCUAGAUAAUAAAGUAUCCCUCCAACCACAUCCACCAAUGGCCAAAGUACCUCCACCGCAUAAAGCCAACAAACUUGGUUAAACAAGGCACAUCAACAACAUAAAUUUAAAUUAAAACUAAACACUCACAAGGAAAGACAACUAACUCAUAAUGAGUUGUUGCAACUUAUUCCGACUCAGAAAGAGUCAAACAAAAAGUUAAAACAUGAAAAACAACUCGCACGACGACUAUGGAGGAGCCAUUGUACUUUAUCCAUCCUUGGGAUUCAAAUUUGAAACAAAAAUUUAGUAGCCCUAGUAUUAUUGUUCCCACAUCUUCAGAUUUUUUACUUAAUAAUUGAGGAUCUCUUGAGGAAACUUUUGAACUAGUGUGUCGAGAGUUUUGAGUGUCUUUCCAGUCCAUUGUCGUAAUCAAUAUAGUUGAUACCAAACCAAAUAGUGUAUCCAUCUCUCCAUUCAAAGUUGUCUAGCAAUGACCAUGCAAAGUAUCCCUGCACAUUA
rnacentral:lncRNA from 1 species